CAACUUUCAGCACCUGGUACACCUCAACAAAAUGGUAUAUUAGAAAUGAGAAAUAAAACCUUGUUAGACAUGGUUCGUUUAAUGAUGAGUCAUGCUCAAUUGCCUUGCUCGUUUUGGGGGUAUGCAGAUUGAACAAUGUUCCUCGAAAAGUGUUUCUAAAAUACCUUUCUGUAACGAUCCAACACUUUAUACUAAGGUGAGAUCAUUACCACUAAAACAAAUAAAGACUUUUUAUUUAAAUCAAAGAAAAUACUAAGUUUUAAAAAGAAACACUCAUAAAAUAUAAGUAAAGUAUAUAAUAAAAUAUUAGUUCGGAACCUAUUUAAAAUAAAAAAAAUAUAUCUAAAAGUAAACAUGGGUUCUGAAAUAAAUUUAAUACUCAAAACAUAAAUGUGGAAGAAAACAUAAGAUGUUCCCUAUGACGAUCCACGGUCACUUCUUGCCAUUCGCGAGCUUGCCUUUACCUGCUCCUUUACCUGAAAAAUUAAACAUAGAAAAGGGUGAGUAUAAAUUUAUACUAAGUAAGAGACCCACUACUACUCCUGCUACGUGUCUGUUAACCUCUCGUUAUAGUCCUGUAAGAAAAUAUCGAAUAUCUAUUGUGCUCCCAAACGUACGCUAUCCAGUGAUCUUGUAGGAACACAUCUAGACUCUUGGUGAACCCGAAGGAGUCACCCUAAAGAAGUGUAAGUGAUCCUAUUGAUUCACAUAUAAAAGCUAAGCCACACAAACAUAAAUAGGUGGUGAUCCCGAGGGACACCCAUAUGAUACGACUCUAACAGGUAAAGCUAACACAACAUCAUAGUCUAUACAUAUAACAUAACAUAAAUAACAUAUCUCAAACAUGAUGUAUCUCAACCAUAGUAUAUCUCAUUCAUAACAUAUCGUGGUCAUCACAUAUCUUAGUCAUACAUAACGAUUUUUUAUGUAGCUAUCAUUAUCUAACAUUCUUCACAGUCACAUCACAUGCAUCAUGGCUACGUUAAUGCAUACUAAGGGAAAACAUAAUGUAAGGAUCUAAUAAUAAAACUUCUUACCUGGAGAUUAAUUAUCAACUAAUUCAGUCAUAAACAUAAACAAAAUUAAAAUUAUUAAUUUUGUCAACCAUCACCCAACUAUUUAAUUAAGCAUCCAAACUUCCAACUAUUUAAUUAAGCAUCCAAACUGACCCCCAAGAUUAAGGUUGAAUCAAACAAAACCUUGAAUGGAAAAUUUCGGAGUCUCAAAUCCUCAAAUUAACACUUGAACCUUCAAACAAAAAUAAUUUAACUCAUUCCAUUGUAAACUUAUUUAAGAUCCAAAAAAUAUUCAUUUGGGCAUACCAAACCAACACAGCUCAAGAGAUACCAAAAAGCAACUUGGCUUAAACUAAGGCAGAAAUGGCCCACGCGGCUCUGCAGGAGGAGAAUCGACUUGGCAGUCAGCUCGGGUGCACAACUCACAAAAGGAGAAAGAAAUCGGCUGUGACAAGCGCGAUUUACGAAGGAGUAGAUAAGUGGCUCUGUGAUGCACAGAUCGACUUGCUCAAGCAAGGGUUCGUUUAACGAUUGCCGGCAAUGAGAUCUGGGUGGCACGAGACAGAACUUAACGACGGUAAGGCUUAAUGAAAACGUUCAAAAACUAGAUGAUUGAUGAAAUGAAAAGAGAGAGAUUCCUCGGCUUCACCUACAUGCAAACGUAGGAGGUGGGGGGUGCAUAGUCGGCUUGUGCGACUUCGUCACUAAGGAACAAAGGAGGAAUGACGGUGUCAACAAACGACGAGCGGUGAUCCUUGCAACGGAGCACGAUGGCGGCUGGGGUUUGUGAAGAAUUAAGAAGAUGAUGAAUAGUUCCCUUUUUUGCACGUUUCACAAGGGUUAAUUAUAUAUAAUAAUAAUAAUGAUAUUUAUUAUUAUUAUCAUUAUUCCUUUUCUUUUGCUAAUUAACAAAUUAACCAAAAUCAAAUCAUACUUUCUCUCCUCGUUAAAUACCCAUCAAACCAAACUUUUUACUUUCCCCAAAAAUACAAUAUCUUUCCAAAUAAUUAGAUUUUCCACAAUAUAAUUAUUUUCUCUCUAAAAAAUAUCUUUCCUAAAAAAAAUCAAUAAUAUAUUAUUCUACCCUUCCAUAACUUAAUUAAUUAUAUACAUAUAUAAUUAACCAAUAAACUUAAAUCUCACCAAAAUUUUCAAUAGUAUAAUUAAUUAAAUAAUCUUCCACUGAACAUUCAAUUAAUCACAAUUUCCACAAUACUAAAAAAAUUAUAACACCCAAUUAAAUCCAUCAUAAAUUAAAUUAAACUAAGAUAAUUAAAAAAAUAAAAUUACCUUAAUUUUUGGGUGUUACAGUUUUUGAAUUUAAAUAAUUUUUAGACGUAACCAGCCUUAAGGACAGCAUGUUGUACAAGUUAUCGACCCUACUGCACCUGUCACUCAUGCAUACCUUGCUGCCAUGGAGCAAAUGUACAUAGACUUAUUGUUCAAAGUAUUGGCACAGUGACAACCUACCUAGGAUAUCCAAACAACUCAUGUACGGACACCGGCUGCAAGUGUUUAGAUCCCAGUUGCGGGAGUUUAGGCCCCAAUUGUAGCAUAUAACCUACUUGAUAUGCUUUCAGCAGAAGCCAAACACCUGAGGGAUUUCAGGAAGUAUAACCCUCGGACUUUCGAUGGAUCCUUGGCAAACUCCACCAAGGCGCAGAUGUGGUUGAGUUCGGUGAAGACUAUCUUUCGUUACAUGAAGUGCUCCAAUGACCAGAAAGUUUAGUGCGUCGUGUUCUUACUGACUGAUAGAGACAGAGGCUAGUGGAAGUCCACAUAGAGGAUGUUGGGUGGAGAUAUGAGUCAGAUCACCUAAAAGUAGUUUAAGGAGAAUUUUCAUGCCAAAUUCUUCUUCGUGUCAAGAGUUCUUAAAGUUGGAGCAAGGCAAUAUGGCCAUAGAGGAGUAUGAUCAAGAAUUCGAUGUGUUAUCCCGAUUUGCACCUGAGUUAGUGAGAACUGAGACUGAGAGAGUUGACAAGUUUGUCAAAGGCAUUAAGUAGGAGAUCCAGGGUUUCGUUAGAGUCUUUAGACUAGCUACCUAAGAUGAUGCACUACACAUGACAGUGGAUUUGAGUUUGCAUGAGAGGAUAAAGAUGGCCAAGGCUGUAGAGAAUGGUCCAAUUGUAGGGUAGAAAAGGAAGGCUUAGCAGUAGCCUACAAUAGCACCACAAAGGAAUUUGAGAUUAGGUGGUUUGUUCCAGCAGCUUAGACAGUAGGUUGUUGAGGCAGGCAAAACCUUGAAGGAAGUAUACAUGUGUUCUAAUUGUGAAAGGUCUCAUUCAGGUCAUUGCCUAAUAGGAAGUAGUAUAUGCUACAAGUGUAGGCAACCUGACAUAUAUAUAGCUGAUAAUUACCCUCAGAAAUAGUUUGAACCUAUCUCGAACUAGACUUCUACAUCUCGAUAGGGGUGAGUUUUUGCCACUAAUCAACAGGAGGCUGAGAAAGCUUACACAGUGGUGAUAGGUACACUCCUAAUCUUGGAGCACUUUGCUUUAUUAUUAUUUGACUCGGGGUCCUCUCAUUCUUUUAUAUCGCCAAUUUUUGUUCAACAUAUGAGUUUACAAGUAGAACCCUUGAGUUAUAUGUUAUUUGUCUCUACUCCAUCUGGAGAAAUUAUGUUGUCGAAAGGAAAGAUAAAAACAUGUUAAAUAGAAAUAGCAUAUCAUGUUUUAGAUGUAACUUUAUUAGUAUUACACAUGCAAGACUUUGAUGUAAUAUCGGGCAUGAAUUGGCUAUCUGCUAACCAUGCAAACAUAGAUUAUUCUCGCAAGGAGGUAGUUUUUAACCCUCAUGAGGCGACUAGUUUAAAGUAUAAGGGGGCGGGGACUGUGGCCUACCCAAAGUUAUCUCAACCAUGAAGGCCAGUAAGUUGUUCAACCAAGGUACUUAGAGUAUCUUGGCUAGUGUUGUAGAUACCAGAGAGCCCGAUGUAUCCUUAUCAUCUGAAUGAAUGGUAAGGAAAUACCCCGAUGUUUUUUUAGAAGAGCUUUCAAGACUUUCUCCUCACAAAGAGGUUGAUUUUGCUAUUGAACUGAAACCAGGCACUGGUCCCAUAUCGAGAGCUCCAUACAGAAUGGCUCCAGCUGAGCUGAAGGAGUUGAAGGUCUAGUUGCAAGAAUUAUAGGACAAGGGCUUUAUUCGAUCUAGUAUGUCACCUUGGGGAGCACCGGCAUUAUUUGUGAAGAAGAAAGAUGGGUUGAUGUGUCUUUGCAUUUACUAUAAAAAGCUUAAUAAGGUGAUAGUCAAGAACAAAUAUUCAUUGCCCAGGAUUGAUGGCUUGUUUGAUCAGUUUUAGGGAGCCACUGUGUUCUCUAAGAUCAAUUUACGAUCAGGAUAUCACCAGUUGAGGAUUAGAGACAGUGAUAUUCCCAAGACUGCCUUUCCAGAUAUGGACAUUACGAGUUUAUUGUGAUGUCCUUUGGCUCGACAAAUGCUCCUGGUGUAUUUAUGGAUUUGAUGAAUAAGGUGGUGCUUAAGGAUUUCUUAGACACUUCUGUGAUAUUUUUUAUUGAUCACAUCUUGGUUUACUCCAAGACAGAGGCUGAGCAUGAGGAGUAUUUGCAUAAGGUAUUAGAGACUCUUCGAGCCAAUAGGCUAUAUGCCAAGUUUUCCAAGUGUGAGUUUUGACUGAAGCAAGUUUUGUUCCUUGGCCAUGUAGUGUCCAGUGAAGGAGUUAUUAUAGACCCAGCAAAGAUUAAAGUUGUUACCAUUUGGCCUCGACCUUGUACAGUCAGUGAAGUUUAAAGUUUUUUGAGUUUAAUAGGUUAUUACAGAAGGUUCGUGGAAGGCUUCUCUCGUAUAGCUAGUCCUUUGACCUAGCUAACCAGGAAGGGGAAUCCUUUUGUUUGGAGCCCAGCAUGUGAGAGCAGUUUCCAGGAUCUUAAACAGAAACUUGUUACUACACCAGUCCUUAUAGUGCCAGAUGGAUCUGGGAGUUAUGUGAUUUACAGCGAUGCCUCUUAGAAAGGAUUGAGUUGUGUAUUGAUGCAAUAAGGUAAGGUGGUUGUUUAUGCCUCUCCUCAGUUGAAGAGCCAUGAGCAGAACUACCCUACACAUGAUUUAGAGUUUGGCAGCAAUAGUUUUUGCACUUAAGAUUUGGAGGCAUUAUUUAUAUGGUGAGAAGAUUCAGAUCUUCAUUGACCAUAAGAGCUUGAAUUGGUCAAGGACUUAAAUAUGAGAUAGCGCGGAUGGCUCGAGUUGGUCAAGGACUACGAUCAUGAGAUCGUGAGUUAGUAGGAAGGUAUCAUACUCUGUAGCACUCAUUACUAGUCAGGUUCCUUUGCACAGAGAUCUUGAGAGAGCUAAGAUUGCAUUUUUAGUAGGAGAAGUCACCUCACAGUUAGCUCAGGUGUCAGUACAACCAACUUUGAGGCAGAGAAUUAUUAUUGCUCAGCUCACUGAUCCUUAUUUGGUUGAUAAGUGAUGCUUAACAGAAGUAGGGUAAGCUGAGGAGUUCUCUUUAUCCUCUGAUGAUGGACUCAUGUUCGAGAGACGGUUAUGUGUGCCAGCAGACAGUGUAGUUAAGACAGAGUUGUUGGUUGAGGCCCAUAAUUCUCCACUUUCUAUGCAUCCAAAUAGUACAAAGAUGUAUAAAUAUUUAAAACAAGUUUACUGGUGGAAAAAUAUGAAGAGGGAAGUGCCAGACUUUGUCAAUAAGUCUCUAGUUUGCUAACAGGUGAAGACACUAAAACAGAAGCCAACAGGUUUUUUGCAACCUUUGAGUGUGCCAGAAUGGAAGUGGGAGAAUGUGUCUAUAGAUUUCAUUUUAGAACUGCCAAGGUCUCUGAAGGGUUAUAAAGUAAUUUGGUUUAUUGUUGACAAGCUCACGAAGUCAGCCCAUUUCAUCUCAGAGAAGGCCACUUGUACUGCCAGUAAGUGGCACAGUUGUAUAUGACCGAGAUAGUGAGACUGCAUGGAGUGCUCGUGUCAAUUGUUUCUGAUAGAGAUGCCUAUUUUACUUCCAAGUUUUGGAAAGGACUUCAGGCUGCCAUGGGCACGAGAUUGGACUUUAGUAUAACUGUUCACCCUCAGACUGAUGGUUAGACAGAGCGUUUGAGCCAAAUUUUGGAGGAUAUGUUCCAAACAUGUGUGCUAGAGUUUUCAGGAAGUUGGGACUCCUAUUUGCAUUUGAUGGAGUUCGCUUAUAAUAACAGUUAGCAGGCUACCAUUGACAUGGCAUCAUUUGAAGCUCUGCAUGGUAAGUGUUGUAGAUUCUCUGUAUGUUGGGGUGAGGUUGGUGAGCAGAGGAUGUUAUGUCCCAAGCUAGUUCAGACCACCAAUGAGGCCAUACAGAAGAUUAGAGCCCGCAUGUUGACAGCGCAGAGCAUACAGAAGAGUUACGCCAAUGAACAACGUAGGGAUCUUGAGUUCGAUGUAGGGGACAUGGUUUUUGUAAAGGUAGCACCUAUGAAGGGUGUUAUGAGGUUUGAGAAGAAGGGAAACCUGAGUCCACGUUUCGUAACUCAUCAUUUGGCAUUGCCUCUGUCAUUGUCUGCAGUUCAUGAUGUAUACGAUGUAUCCAUGCUGAGGAAGUGUGUAACAGAUCCAACACAUAUAGUUGAUUAUGAGUCAUUGCAAAUCAAUGAGAACUUGAGCUAUGAGGAGCAACCAGUUGAGAUUUUGGCAAAAGAAGUUAAGUUGCUUCAUAACAGGGGAAUUAAUUAAUGUUCUUUAUCAAAACCACGAGGUUGAAAAAGCUACUUGGGAGAGAGAGGACAACAUGAGAGCUCAUUAUCCCGAGCUAUACAAGGAUUAGAACUUUCAAGGACGAAAGUUUCUCAAAGGAGGGACGUAAUCUUAUUUUUAAAUUAUCUUAAUUUAAUUUAAUUUAUGAUGGAUUUAGUCUAGUGUUAUAAUUUUUUAGAAUUGUUUGUUUUGUGGAAAUUGUGAUUAAUUAAAUGUUCAAUGGAAGAUUAUUUAAUUAAUUGUAUUAUUGGAAAUUUUGGUGAGAUUUAAGAUUAUUGGCUAAUUAUAUAAGUAAAUAUAAUAAACUAAGUCAUGGAAGGGUAAGAAUAAUUUAUUAUUGACUUUUUUAGGAAAGAUAUUUUUGAGCGAGAGAAAAUAAUUAUAUUGUGGAAAAUAUAAUUAUUUUGAAAGAUAUUGUAUUCUUGGGAAAAAUAAAAAGUUUGGUUUGAUGAGGAGACAGAGUAUAAUUUAAUUGAGUUAACUUGUUAAUUGGAAAUGGAAAAGGAAUAAUGAUAAUAAUAAUAAAUAUCAUCAUUAUUAUUAUAUAUAAUUAACCCUCGUGAAACGUGCAAAGAAAAGAGAGAACUAUUCAUCAUCUUCUUCCUUCUUCACAAACCCUAGUCGUCACUGAACCCAUUGCAAGGAUCAUCACUCGUCGUUUGUGGACACUAUCAUUCCUCCUCCGUUCGCGUACAGGUGAAGUUGAGGUGUCUCUCUCUUUUUAUUUAUUUUUCGCACGUUUUUGUCAAGCCUCAUUGUCGGCAAGUUCUGUCUCGUGCCACCAAAAUCUCAUCGCAGGCAACAGUCGAACGAACCUUUUGCCUGACCAAGCCGAUAUGUGCAUCACCGAGCCGAUUCUCCACUUCUUCACAAGUUGCCCUCAACUCUGCUGAUUUUUCCUCUCUUUGCGAGUAGUGCGCCCAAGCUAACCGUCGAGCCGAUUCUCCUUCUGUCAAGUUGUGUGAGCCAUUUCUACCUUAGUCCAAGCCAAGUUACUUUUUGGUAUCUCUUGAGCCUUUUGGGUGAAUUUGUGUUGGGUUUGGUACGUCCAAAUGAAUAUUCUUUGGAUCUUAAAUAAGUUUACAAGAGAAUGAGUUGAAUUACUUUUGCUCGAAGGUUCAAGUGUUAAUUUGAGGAUUUGAAACUGCAAAUUUUUUCAUUCAAGGUUGUGUUGGAUUCAACCUUAGUCUUGGGGUAAGUUUGGAUGCUUAAUUAAAUAGUUGGAUGAUGGUUGACAAAAUUAACAAUUUUAAUUUUGUUUAUGUUUAGGCCUGACUUAAUUGAGAAUUGACUGUCAGGAAGGGACUAUAUUUUCAACUAAUUAAUCUCCAGGUAAAAGAUUCUACUACCAGCCUCUUACAUUAUGUUUUACCUUAGUAUGCAUUAACAUAGUUAUGAUGCAUGUGAUGUGACUGUUAAGGAUGUUAGAUAAUGAUAGCAACAUAGAAAAUCGUUAUGUAUGACUGAGAUAUGUGAUGACCAUGAUAUGUUAUGAAUGAGAUAUACUAUGGUUGAGAUAUAUUACGAUUAAGAUAUGAUAUUUAUGUUAUGCUAUAUAUGCUAUGAUGUUCUGUUAGCUUUACUUGUUAGAGUCGUACCAUGUAGGUGUCCCUCGGGAUCACCACCUAUUUAUGUAUUUGUGGUUAGGUUUGAUGUGUGAUUCGACAAGAUCACUUACAACUUGACUCUUCUUUAGGGUGAUUCCUUCUGCUUCACCAAGAGCCCAUAUAUGUCCCUACGAGAUCACUGGAUAGGGUGAUUUCAGUAGAAUAAUAGAUAUGCGGUACUUUCUUAUAGGAGGACUUUAACGUAAAAUUAACAAACACGUAGUGGGACUAAUAGUGGAUCCCUUACUAAGUAUAAAUUUAGACUAACUCCUUUCUAGAUUUAAUUUUUCAGGCAAAGAUAGAAAUAAAGGCAAGUUGGCGAAUGACAAGAAGUCACCAUGGUUCUCCAUAGGGGACAAUUUAUGUUUUAUUUAGCAUUUAUAUUUUCAAUAUUAAAUUUUCAUAAACUUAUUUCAGAACCCACAUUUACUUUUAGAUAUAUAUUUUUAUUUUAAAUAGGGCCCAAACUAAUAUUUUAUUUAUUGUUUUCUUUACAUACUUUACUUAUAUUUUAUGAAUAAAUAUUUGAAGUGUUUGUUUUAAAACUUAGUAUUUUCUUUGAUUUAAAUAAAAAGUCUUUAUUUGUUUUAGUAGUAAUGACCUCAACUUAGUAUAAAGAGUUGGGUCGUUACACUUUCGAGUUAUGUAGAGGAUGUAAACCUAGUUAAGUCACUCCAUAAUUUGGGGUUGUCCAGCACACGUUUUAGUGUCAAAUUCUAAGAAGUUGGACUCUCGUUCAAGGUUAUGUCAAUUUUUUGGUUAUCCUAAAGAAACGAGAGGUGGUCUAUUCUUCGAUCCACAAGAAAACAAAGUGUUUAUAUUGACAAAGGCUACUUUCUUGGAAGAAAACAACAUGAGAGAUCAUAAACCAUGAAGCAAAUCAAAAUUAAGUGAAGCUACUAAUGAAUCAGCAAGGGUUGUUGAUGAAGUUGGUCCCUCAUCAAGAGUUGAGGAAACCAACACAUCCGAUUAGUCUCAUCCUUCUCAAUUGUUGAGAAUGCCUCGAUGCAGUGGGAGAGUUAUAUCACAACCUAAUCGUUACUUCGGUUUAACUGAAACUCAGGUUGUCAUACCAGAUGAUGUCGUUGAGGAUCCAUUGUUCUAUAAAUAGGCAAUGACUGAUGUAGACAAGGACUAAUAGGUUAAAACCAUGGAAUCUAUGUACUUCAAUUCAGUAUGAGAGCUUGUAGAUCUACCUGAAGGGGUGAAACCCAUAGGGUGCAAAUGGAUCUAUAAGAGAAAGAGAGAUUCAGCUGGGAAGGUACAAACCUUCAAAGCUAGACUCUUAGCAAAUGGGUAUACCCAAAGGGAAGGGAUUGACUACGAGGAAACUUUUUCUCUGUUGCUAUGUUAAAGUCUAUAAGGAUUCUCUUGUCCAUAGUCACUUUUUAUGAUUAUGAAAUAUGACAAAUGGAUGUUAAUACUGCUUUUCUAAGUGGCAAUCUUGAAGAGAGUAUCUUUAUGUCUCAGCCUGAGGGGUUCAUAACCCAAGGUUAGAAACAAAAAGUUUACAAGCUGAAUCGAUCCAUUUAUGGGUUGAAAUAAACAUCUAGAUCUUGGAACAUUAGAUUUGAUAUUGCGAUCAAAUCUUACGGUUUUGACCAAAAUGUUGAUGAGCCUUGUGUAUACAAGAAAAUCAACAAAGAUAAAGUAGCUUUCUUAGUACUUUAUGUGGACGAUAUCCUUCUCACUGGAAAUGAUGUAGGAUACCUAACUAACGUUAAAACUUGGCUACCAGUCCAAUUCUAAAUGAAAGAUUUGGGAGAGGCACAAUUUGUUCUUGGGAUCCAAAUCAUAAGGGAUCGUAAGAACAAAAUGCUAGCACUGUCUCAGGCAACCUAUAUCGACAAAAUAUUGGUUCGAUAUUCGAUGCAAACUCUAAGAAGGAUUUAUUACCUUUCAAGCACGAGGUUUACUUGUCUAAGGAACAAUGUCCUAAGACACCUCAAGAAGUUGAGAAGAUAUGAGACAUAUUCCAUAUGCCUUAGUUGUGGGUAGCUUAAUUUAUGUUAUGUUCUGCACUAGGUUAGACAUUUAUUAUGUAGUGGGAAUAGUCAGUAGAUAUCAGUCCAACUUAGGGUUAGACCACUAGACGACGGUUAAAAUUAUUCUUAAGUAUCUUAGGAGAAUGAGAAACUACAUGCUUGUGUAUGAAGCUAGGGAUUUAAUCCUGAUUUCUAAACAGAUAAGGAUUCUAGGAAAUCUAGUGGGAUUAGUGUUCACCCUAAACGGGAGAACAGUAGCAUGUCAUAGCAUCAAGCAAGGAUGCAUUGUAGACUCUACUAUAAAGGUUGAGUACGUCGUUGCUUGUGAAGCAACAAUAGAAGCAAUUUGGCUAAGGAAGUUUCUGCAAGAUUUGGAAGUUGUUCCAAAUAUGAACAUGCCCAUCACUUUAUAUUUUGAUAUCAAUUGGGCAGUGACCAAUUAUAAGGAACCUCAUAGCCACAAAUGAGGAAAACAUAUAGAGAGAAAAUAUCAUCUGAUACAAGAGAUUGUGCAACGAAGUGAAGUGAUAGUCACCAAGAUCGCUUUGGAGCAUAACAUUGCUGAUCCAUUUACAAAGACUCUCACGGCUAAAGUGUUCGAGGCUCAUCUAGAGAGUCUAGAUCUGCGAGUUUUGUACAUUAGGUAAUCUAGGACAAGUGGGAGAUGUGUAAUGGGUAUGGGGAUGUCCUAGUUUAUUGUAUUGGGGAUUUAAUUGUUGAGUACUACAAAUUUGUAAAUCUACUAAUUUAGAGGAUUUUCUCAUAUCGUGCUUCAUUUCUAAUUCAUUUUAAAGGAUUUCUCUUGAUCUCUAAAAAGAGUGGUCGUAAUGGUUUGAUCCUAAACCGUGGAAAUGAUUGAGCUUGUUCUUACACUUGAAAAAAGGAACGUUGUAUGGAUCUACUCUAAGCCAUCGAAAGAGUCAAGUUUGAGUGAAAUAACCAAGAGGAGCUUGAAAAGUGGAUGUAGGUCGGUUGUGCGAGCCACUAUAAAAUUCCCGAUGUUAAUUUCUUUAUCUCUCAACUAUUUAAUUUUGCAAUUAAUUUGUUAUCAAAUUUUAGUGUUUGAAAUUAAUUGCAACUUUUGUUCUUGAGAUUAAUUGCUCACUUCUCUAUUUAGGUUGGUUUAAGUUUAUCUUUGCAUAUUUGUGUUACCAAUUUUCUUGUUAUAAACAUUAAAAUGGAUGUUUGAAUUUGUUAACGUCACCUUAUAAGUUAUUUUGAUGUGCAUGCAUUUGUAUGAGAUUAUUGAUUACAUUAUUUAUUAGCAAAAAGUUUGUUAAUUUAUUUAAUUUGGCCCACUUGUUUCAUUAAUUUGUAAAAACCCUAUUCACCCUCUUGAGGAUUCCCAUACCGAUCGUACACGAGAUACAAUUGAAGAUAAUUCAAAUUCUAGAUUAAGUUAAAUAUGUGAUGCUUAACUUAGUAAUUAAUUAAUUGGAAAAGUAAUUAAUUAAAUUAAAUCAUGAAUAAUACACAUAAAUGUAGCAAAACCCAAAAAUAUUUACGUCGCAUGUAACAAAAAAUUAAAGCACAUGAAGCCACCAUUAUUUUUUUUUAUAAAUUUCAGAUUUUCCCUUUGUCAUUAUUUUUGCGCAUUGUGAAACCAUUCUUCACUUCACUUCUUUUUCUUCUUCUUUGCAAUUUAUUCUUCUCUUCUUCGUAUUAUUAAUUUCUUCAUAUUAUUACUUCUCUUUCAUAUUCUCACUUCUUCUUGUCUUUGAUUUCUUCAUUUCCUUUUUCAAAAUUACUUCCUUCUUCAUCUCUCAUCUUCUCUUUUUGCUUCUUGGUACAAGAUCUAAAUGAUAUUAGUACAUGAUUUAAAUGAUAAUGUAUCAAUAUCUAAAUCAUCAGUUGUCUAUCCCAGAUAAACAGACAUAGACCACUGUUACUAAUGGAUCGUUUAGAUUUGGUACAAUAUUGUUUAGACUAAAUAAAAGAUCGUUUAUGUUGGGAUUUAUGUCCUAAAACUCGUAGAUUGUAAAUAUAAUCCAUUAAUCGUUGUUAAUAACAUGUUAUUAUUGUAAUAAUUGUUAUUGGUUAUAAUAUUAGUUGUCUUAAUAACUCAAAUCAAACAAACUAACAUCCUAAGUUGUUUAAUGAAUCUUAAACAGUAUGUAGAGACAUACAGGGAUAAAGGUUCAAGAUCAGCUUAAAGGUUCUAUAGUACAAGGAUAAUGCUGAAUACCUAAUCCUGGUAACACUAUGAAUAUGGCUCACUUUGUAUUUGAUACAAACACAAUGAUUCAACGCGUUUGUGUAGUUGACAUACGAGUGACGGUAUCUUAUGCAAUAAGUUUACAUAAGAUCAGACGGCAAAAUAAUAACUACUAGAUGAAACUCUGUUUACUAGUUAGGUUUCUAUUCAUUAGGAUGACCUAGGUAACUUAGUUUUAAUUGUAACGCCCCAACUUUUCUAGAAGGUUGAGGUCAUUACUAUUUAAGUAAGUAUAAUGAUUUUUUUAAUAUACAAGAAAAUAAAUUAAAAUUUGAGGAAAAACUUUAAAUAAUAAGUAGUUAAAAUAACUGAUCAAAAUACCAGUUUGGGCCCAAAAAUAGAAGAAAUACUUAAAGUAAUUGAACCAGAGUUCUGAAAUAAACCUAUGAAAAUAUAAGUAUUGAAAUAUAAAUGCGAAGAAAACUGAAUUGUUCCCUAUGGCGAUCUAUGAUCACUUCUUAUCAUUCGCUAUUAUGCCCUUGCCUCUACCCUUACCUGAAAUUAAACAUUUAAAAGAGUGAGUAUAAAUUUAUACUUAGUAAGAGACCCAUAGUGGUCUCACUAUGUGUCUGUUAACCUUUCGUUAGAGUCCUGUAACAUGGUACCGCAUACUAUUGCGCUCCCGAACGCAUACUAUCAAGUGGUUCCGUAGGGACACAUCUAGGCUCUCGGUGAACCCGAAGGAAUCAUCCUAUAGGAGAGUCAGACUGUAAGUGAUCCCGUCGAAUCACAUCUCAAACAAGUCACACAUGCAUACAUAGGUGGUGACCCUGAUGGACCCCCAUACGGUACAACUCUAAUAGGCAAAACUAACAGAACACUAUAGCCUAUACAUGUUUAUCAUAAGAUCAACAUCUUAGCUCAAUUACACAUAACUCAAAAGUAACAUAUUUGAUUAUAGCAUGCCUCAACAAAUAAUACUAUAUCUAAAUCAUAAUAUGGUUUUCAAAGUAACUAUUUAUACGACCAUCUCAAACAACAUAAUUCAACUCAUUCCAGUGCUAACUCAUUUUAGACCCAAAACAAUAAUUAUUUGGGUGUACCAAACACAACGAGAAUUAAGCAAAAACUCACCAAGGGCUUAAAUAUGUUGCAGACGGCUAAAACUGAAGGUGGCUCGACUAACAACGCUUCAGCUCGAGUCUUGAGACUCACGGCUGGCAUACGACUCACACAGGAAUGGCUCGGUUGCGCGUGGCUCAUAUGGCUUACACGAAACGGCUCGGAUCCACAGAGAUGACUCACGAGGCUCGGUGAAGGAAUACGACUCGAACUAACACGACUUGAACAUGUGGCUCGCAAAAAGAAAACUUUCACAGCUUGCACCCUUCACUGUUAAGCAUGAUGAUGUCCGGCGGUGCUGUGCGAGUGGAGGCAACGACGGGUGAUGGUUUCGACGGAAGAGAGGGUUCUGACCGAUGAUGUGGAGGAGGAACGCACAGAGGAAGACAGGGGUCGUUCGACGGUUCAAUGCAACACGCGUCGACACGGCUGGAGAGAAACGAACGGUUGUGCUUCGUGACCGUGACGCUUCGACUAUGCGACUGUGACAGGGACUCUCUCACCGGAGUGCUGCAUUCGAUGAUGGCUGGAGGAGCGGGGCGACAGCUACUCUAGGGUUAAAUGGUGAAGAAGAAAGAGUGGGGUGGAGAAGAUGAGCACGAAAUACGAGAGAGACUUAUUUAAUAUAUACAAUAAUAAUAAGUAUUAUUAUUAUUAUUGUCAUUAUCUUUAUUAUCAUUAUUUAAUUUCCCCAACGAACUCAUUUUUUUCUAUUUCAAUUAAUUUUUCUCUUUCCAUUACUAACUCAAUCCAUCAUCAAUAACUUCUCUCGUUUCCUUAAUAAUUAUAUUAUCCCAUAAUAUAAUUAUUCUUAUUCGUCUAUAACUUUGCUUAUACCCAUAAACAAUAAUUACUCAUAAUACUUUCAACUUUACAAAUUUAAUUUACCAACCAAUCAAUCCAAAAAUUACCACUUUAACAAAAUGAUUUCAAAUUUCAGAAUUAACCACAUAUCAUUCCAACGCACUUAACUUCCACAAAUCAAUAAUUUCACACAUAAUACUUUCUAUGGGCACGCACGCACAAUAGACACACACACACGUGCACAUGCGCACACACGGACACGCGCAUACACAUGCACACGCUAGCGUACACGCACACUCACCCACACGCACACGCGCACGCACACAUAUGCACAAAGAUGUGUAAAUGAAUUAAGAUUAAAAAACAAUUACAAUAAUUAUGUUUAGGAGUAAAAAUCAUGUUCAUUUGACUUAAAAAACAUUAAUUAAAUUAUAAUUUCUAUCAAUAUUGGUUUAAGAGUGUCAUUAUUUCAAUAUAAUGCGGUUUUAUGCAAUUUUACCAACAAAAAAUAAGUCGAAUAUGGACCUGUAGAUCCACACUCUUUGUCCUAAGAGAUAUAACAACUUUUCUAUGGGUUAUUUUAAAAAAUAGAAAAACGAUUUUUUCUUUUGAAUUAAAGCAAAUAACAUUUUUUGCACGUGCAUGGUAUUUUACAAAAUAUCCACCUUCUCCAACUGUAUUAUUUAGUUUCUACGUUGUAAUUAAUUUAUGUCAUUUAUCAGCUUUUAAUUAAUUUUUACUUGAAAAAUAUACAUCAAUCCAUAUUGCAACUUUUUUUUUAAUAUCUUGGGACUCAACUAAUUGAUUCAAUAUUUUAAUAACUUUAUUCAAUCUUACUAAUUUUCAAAAUAACCCAAUUGAAUUAAAUUUCAAAAAUAACCAAAUUAUUAUUUUUCAGAAUUUGAGAAUCUCAACAUAGAUUUUGUAUCAAAAUAACCUUAAUUGAAUUCAAAAUUAAAAAAUAUCGACUUGUUCGCUAUUUUUAUCUCAAAAUAACAUUAAUGGCUUAAACAUCAAGAUAACGAAAUUUAUUAUUUAAAAUUGGAAGAAUCUCAUCACUAAAAAUAUCAACAUGUUCGCACACGCGCACACGCACGAACGCACACAUACACAUGCACGCAAGCACACUCGCACACGCGCGCACGCACGCACUUUUGCACACGCACACCCAUCCACACUUACCUACACACACACGCGCACACACACACAUAUGUAUAAAGAUGUGUAAAUGAAUUAAAAUUAAAAAAUAAUUAAAUUAAUUGUGUAUAGAAAAACUUUUAAACCAUAUUCAUUUGACUUAAUAACAUUAAUUAAAUAACAAUUUUUAUCAAUAUUGGUUGAAAAGUGUCAUUAGUGUAAUUAUUUCAAUAUAAUGGAGUUUUAUCCAAUUUUACCAACAAAAAACAAGUCGAAUAUGGAUUAGUAGAUCCACAGUCUUUGUCAUAAGAGAUAUAGCAACGUUUUUAUGGGUCAUUUUAAAAAUAACAAAACUACUUUUUCUUUUGAAUUUUAGCAAAUAGCAUUCUAUCACGUGCAUGGUAUUUUCUAAAAUACCAAAAUAUUCAUCUUCUCCAACUGUAAUUAUUUUGUUUCUACUUUGUAAUUAGUUUAUGUUAUGCAUUUAUCAACUUUUAAUUAUUUUUUAUCUGAAAAAGAUACAUAAACCUAUAUCAUAAAUUUUUUUCUUAAUAUCUCGAGACUCAAGUAAUUGAUUCAAGAUUUUCAUAAAUUCACUCAAUCUUACAAUUUUCAAAAUAACUAAUGGAAUUGAAAUUUCAAAACAACCAAAUUGAAUUUCAAAAUAACAGAAUUAUUUAUUUUCAAAAUUUCAAAAUCUCAUAUAGAUUUUGUAUUAAAAUAACCUAAAUUGAAUUUCAAAAUUAAAAAAUAUCAACUUGUUCGCUAUCUUUUAUCUCAAAAAUAACAUUAAUGACUUGAAUAUCUAGAUAAUAAAAUUAUUAUUUUAAAAUUGAGAGAAACUCAACAUUAAAAUAUAUCAACUUGUUCACACACAAGCACACACGGACACGGGCAAACGCGCACACACGUACACACGCACGUAUGAGCGCACACACACCAACACACCCACGCGCACAAGCACAUACGCGUCCGCACACACAGACACACAUAAGCACACAUACAGACACACACACACGUGUGCACAUCAGCACACAAACACGAAUGCACACACGCAUACACACACCCACCCACAUGCACAAAUGUGCACAAACGUACACCUGCACGCACACACACUCGCACGCAUACACACACCGCACGAACGCACACUCACACCCACACGCAUACCCACACACCCACACGCACAAAUGCACAAAACUGCGUAAAUGAAUUAAAGAUAAGAAACAAUUACAUUACUUGUGUUUAAAAAGACUUUUAAAUCAUUUCAUUUGACUUAAUAACAUUAAUUAAAUUAUAAUUUUUAUCAAUAUUGGUUGAAAAGUGUCAUUAGUGUGAUUAUUUCAAUUUAAUGCGAUUUUAUCCAAUUUUACAAAAAAAAAAAAACAAGUAGAAUAUGGACUAGUAGAUUCACACUAUUCAUAAGAGAUAUAACAACGUUUUUAUGGGUCAAUUUAAAAAAUGGCAAAACUAUUUUUUUUUUAAAUUUUAACAUAUAGCCUUAUUGCACGUGCAUGGUAAUUUAUAAAAUAUCAAAAUAUCCACUUUCUCCAACUGUAAUUAUUCCAUUUCUACGUUGUAAUAAAUUUAUGUUAUGCAUUUAUCAGCUUUUAAUUAUUUUUUACCUGAAAAAGAUACAUCAACCCAUGUCAUAACUUUUUUCUUAAUAUCUCGAGACUCAACUAAUUGGUUCAAUUUUUAUAACUUUAUACAAUUUUUACUAUUUUCAAAAUAACCUAAUUGAUUUGAAUUUUAAAAUAACCAAAUUGAAUUUCAAAAUAACAAAAUUAUUAUUUUUCAGAAUUUUAAAAUCGCAACGAUAGAUUUUGUAUUGAAAUAAUCUUAAUUGAAUUUUCAAAACUAAAAAGUAUCAACUUGUUCACCAUCUUUAUCUCAAAAUAACAUUAAUAGUUUGAAUAUAAAGAUAACUAAAUUAUUAUUUUAAAACUAGGAGAAAUUCUACAUUAAAAAAUAUCAACUUGUUGCACACAAGCACAUGUGCACACCCACCCACACAUGCACACGCACAAAAUGUGCAUACACGCAAACAUGUACGCACACAUGUGCACACACACAUGUACGCACGUGUACACACACGUACACACGCGCGACAGCCACACACGAACAUACGCACAAACGCACACACAUACACGCACAUGCGCAUGCGCACCACCCACACAAACUCACACACGCACAAAGAUGUGUAAAUGAAUUAAAUUAAAAACAAUUACACUAAUUGUGUUUAUAAAGACUUUUAAACCAUGUUUAUUUGACUUAAGAAACAUUAAUUAAAUUAUAAUUUCUAUCAUUUGGUUUUAAAAUGUCAUUAGUGUAUUUAUUUCAAUAUAAUGCGGUCUUAUCCAAUUUUACCAACAAAAAAACAAGUCGAAUAUGGACUAGUAGAUUCACACUCUUUGUCAUAAGAGAUAUAACAACAUUUUUAUGGAUCAUUUUGAAAAAUGACAAACUACUUUUUCUUUUGAAUUUAGCAAAUAGUAUUUUUUGCACGUGCACGGUAUUUAUAAAAUACCAAAAAUAUCCACAUUCUUCAACUGUAAUUAUUUUGUUUCUACGUUGUAAUUAAUUUAUGUUGUGUAUUUAUCAGCUUUUAAUUAUUUUUUACUUGAAAAAGAUACAUCAAUCCAUAUUGCCACAUCAAUCCAUACCAAAACGUUUCUAAGAAAGGAUCAUUCUCACCCAUACUUUAAAUUCUUCAAACACAAUGCAAUUAACUUAAAGCAGUACAAAACAAAACAAGAAAUCUAACCAACAAUAACAAAAAAAUAAACCUUAAGCCUGAUCCUUGCAGUCCAUUGGGAGGUUCAGAACGGGACAUGAUCGAGAACAAUCGAUUCCGAGCUGCAGGUUUCGACAUCGACAAAGAAUUUCCAAGUAAAUGAAAAUUUUGGAAAUGGGUGGUGAAGAAAAAUAAGGUUGAGAGGAUUUUGUUUGGUGAGUGGAAAAACUCUAGCCAGUGGAAAGAAUGGAAGAAAUGGGUUUAUUACACAGAUUUUUCUUAAUGAUUUUGGAAGAACAAAGAGAUUGUGAGAAGGUUUAACGGCAAUGACAAUGGCAGAAUGUUAAAUCCCCGAAAAGACUAAAUGGCAAAUUGAGAGGAAGAAGGAAGAAAGAAAUUCUCUUUCAAGCUAGGAAAAGACAGAAGAAUGGGAAUUGAAUUGUACGUUUGGUAUGGCUAUAUGCAAUUUUCUUGCUUCUUUAUGGAUAUGUUGUACAAAGAGAAGAACGAUGACAUGGUUCACUUUGUUUCUCUCUUUACAAAGUAACCAAUGACUUAAAGAAAGACAUUGAACAACAAAUGACCAAUAGAAAACAAUAUACUCAAGAAACAAUAAAAAAAAUGCAGAAAUUAAAAAUGAAAUUGGAAGUAGGAAAAAAAUGGAAGGAAGAAAAAUACCCAAAGUUCUAAAUGCAAUAUGAUCAUAACAAACAUGUCUUACUGUGAACAAAUCGAACAAGCUCUAUAACGAAUUUUGUAGUGGGAAUUCCGACUCAUAGAAGCCGACUCCAGGCUUGCACAACGAAUGACCAAUACAAAUAAGAUCCAGUAAAAGAAAGGCCCAACUAAAGUGAAAUUAGAAGACACACACGUCCUAAUAUUAAGGUAGAAGUCAAGGUAAUUUAGAAAAAUUCAUUACCGGACAACUACCUCAAAAUUACCCGAACUUAUAAACUAUACAAUUAUUUUUUCCUGAUGUUCCAAAACACUUGCCAACUGAAAUUUUCUUUUGACAAAUAUGCAAUGGGUUUCUUGAAAUUGAAUGCUCAAUCCAGAAAUUGAAAAUGAAAUUGGAAGUAGAAAAAAAAUGGAAGGAAGAAAAAUACCCCAACAGUUAUAAAUGCAAUGUGAACAUAACAAGUUGUAUCAUCAUGAACAAAUUGAACAAUCCCCAAAACAGAUUUUGCAAUGGGAUUCUGACUCCAACAAAUUGCAUCCAUGUUGACCAAAACUUUCUGAACAAAGGAUUCAGCUUCCCAUCAACAUGCAUCACAAACCUAUAACUUUAAAUUCUUCAAAAACAAUGGAAUUAAAUCAAGGCAGAAAAAAACACAACAAGAAUUCUAACCAACGAUAACAAAAAAAUCCACCUUAACCCUUAAUCAUUGUCGUCCAAUGGGAGGUUCAACAUUGGACAUGAUUAGAACUAUUGGUUCCCAGCCACAAGUUUCGGCAUCGACAAAGAUUCUCCGAGGGAAAUGAAAGAUUUUGGAAAUUGGUAGUGAAGAAAAAUAAGGUUGAAAGAAUUUUGUUUGGGAGUGACAAAAUUGUAAACCGAACCCCAUGUGUUUCAUUUUCUCCUCAUCGGCCAGAAUUUUGUCAACUCCCCAAACAAAAUCCUGGCCGAUGAGGAGAAAAAUGAAACACAUGGGGUUCGGUUUACAAUGAUUUUUCUUAAUGAUUGUUGGAAGAACAAAGAGAUUUAAGGGUAACAAAAAGAAUGGAAGAAUGUUAAAUCCCAAAAGACUAAAUGGCCAAUUGAAUGCUUAAGGAAGUUUGAUUUGCCUGUUUUAGCAGUUUUUUUGCUUUUUUAUGUAAAUGUUGUAGAAAGAGUAGAACAAGGACAUAAUUCACUUUUUUUUCUCUUCACAAAGUAACCAAUGACUUAAAAGAAAGACACUGCACACUAAAUGCCCAUUAGAAAACAAUAUACAUCGAAAAGAAUAAAAAAUAUGCAAAAAUUCAAAAUGAAAGUGCAAGCAGAACAAAACGGACUUGAUUCACCAUGAACAGAUAGAACAAGCUCCAAAACGGAUUUUGAGUAGAAUUUCGUCUCAGAUUUGCAGUCUCCAGGUUUUCCAAAACGUUCCUAAGAAAGAAUCAGCACAACCCACAACUUUAAAUUCUUCAAAAACAAUGAAAUUAACUCAAAGCAGAAAAAAAAAAGACAAAAACUCUAACCAACGAUAACAAAAAAAUAAACCUUAACCUUUGAUCCUUGCAAUCCAUUUGGGGGUUCAGCACUGGACUUGAUCGAGAACAAUCAGCUCCCAGCCGCAGGUUUCUGCAUGGACGAUGAUUUUUCGAGGAGGGAAAUCAAAUUUUUGGAAAUGGGUAGUAAAGAAAAAUAAGGUUGAAAAGAUUUUGUUUGGAGAGUGGGCAAAAUUCUAGCUGGUGAGGAGAAAAGAAAAGACAUGGGGUUCAGAUUCGAGGGAUUUUUCUUAAUGAUUGUUGGAAGAACAAAGAGAUUGUGAGGAGAUUUAAGGGUAUCGCCACGAAUGGCAAAAUGUUAAAUCACAAAAGACUAUUGUUUUCUUGCUUCUUUAUGGAAAUGUUGUAGAAAGAGUAGAACGAUGACAUGGUUCACUUUGUUUUUCUAUUUACAAAAUAACCAUUGACUUAAAAGGAAAGAAUUUGCACCACAAAUGACCAUUAGAAAACAAUAUACAUAAGAAAGAAUAAAAAAUACGCAGAAAUUGAAAAUGAAAUUGAAAGUUGAAAAUAAAUGGAAGGAAGAAAAAUACUCCAAAAGUUCCAAAUGCAUUACGAUCAAGAGAAAUUUGUAUCAACAUGAACUGAUCAAUAAGCUCCAAAAUGAUUUUGCAGUGGGAUUCCGACUCAGAUAAGCAGUCUCCAGUCUUGCCAAAACGUUCCUAACAAAGGAUCAUCACACCCAUAACUUUAAAUUCUUAAAAAACAAUGGAAUUGACUCAAAGCAGAAGAAAACGAAAGAAAAACUCUAACCAACGAUAAGAAGAAAAUAAACCUUCACCCUUGAUCCUUCCAAUCCAUUUGGGGUUCAGCACUGGACAUGAUCGAGAACAAUCAGUUUCCAGCUGCAGUUUAGGCAUGGACGAAUAUCUUCCAAGAAGGGAAACGAAUUUUAGCGAAGUUUGAUCUACCUGUUAGCAGUGUUCUUGUUUUUGUACGGAAAUGUUGUAGAAAGAGUAGAACGAUGAAAUAAAUCACUUUGUUUUUCUCUUUACAAAGUAACCAAUGACUUAAGAAGAAGACAUUGCACAACAAAUGACCAAUAGAAAAUGAUACGCAAUAGAAAAGAAUAAAAAAGAAAACAAUAUGCAUUUUUGUUUUCAAAUUCUUGGUCAAAUCGCAAUUCAGAAAUGAAAUUUGGUUCAUUAUCGACGAUAAUAUGGUGAACUAAAUAACAUAAGUUUCAGAGUCAUGGGAGAAUAAUAGCCUUGCUAAUUGCUCAAACUCUGAAUGUGAAGGCUUUUCCCAUGUGAAGGAACCCAAAGAACCAGCCAAAGCAGCAUGCUUCUUCCCAAUGCAAGAACAUUCAGUGUAUCUUCUGAUUAUGUCCUGAAUGCAGUAGGAAAAAUGAUAUGAAGUUGUAAUUCAAGCUAAGGUUUUGUUGCAUAAACCAAAAACUUAGAUGGAUAAAACACAAAAUGCAUCAUGUUCCUACCUUAUGCCUACUACAUUGCUAACAAUACACUUACUGCACUCUCAGAGAAGGAACCAGAAAUGGUUCUUGAUGAUCUGUUAAAAUCUUUUGAUGAAAAUGUAAUUAGUGCAAAGAGCGUUGAUGAUUCUAAAACAGAGGCACCUCAUGCUAACUCGGAUGUGCAAUGCUUCUCUGAAGAUGAAAAAGUAAAUGAAGUUUCGAAAGAUGAUGAUUUUGUGGAGAUUUCUGCUGAGGAAAUCAAUGAAUCUGACAAAUCUUCUCUGCCUACUGAAGACUUGGAUGUUACUGAAGUUCACAAAUCGAGCAUUGCAGAAGAAUUUGGUAUGGAAUUUGAAUCUCAACAAAAUGAGUCUACCUGUGAAUUGGAACAUAAAAUUGAAGAAGAUGUUGAAGAAGAAAACACACGUGAAUAACUCUGCUGAAGAACUGUCUCUUCCCCACGAAAAUGUGGAAGAAGAAACUGAAGUUGAUGGAGAUGAUGCCUUGAGCAGUGAUGAAGAAUCUUUGGAAGUGAAAGACGAUCAAGAUGAAAAUGAUCAGAUCCCACAACCGGAAAUGUAGCAUCAGAUGCUGACAUUGAAGGAGACAAGAAGGAAACAAAAAUGGAGAAAAGUUCCGUUCAAGCUGAAGAAGAUGAUACAAUUAUCAAUAAGUCCACGGAGGAGUUCCCCGAGAAUGUUUCUGAUGAUUUGGUUGAUGUCAAGAUCCAAUGGAAAAUGGAAGAAGAAACUCUUCCUAAAGACAUAAUUGUCGAAGCUAUCGACUCACAACCAGAAAUCCCAAAUGCCAUUGUUCAAUGUGAGGAAGCUUUGGUGGAAAUCACUAUCACAUCCUCCAACAACAAUGCAGUUCAAUCAUUGGCAAACCAAUUCCCUAGGCCAACAAUAGAAGCCAAAUCUCCCGUUGAAGAACAAACCAUUAGUUUGCUAAUGGACAACCCAGAUGCUGAGGAAGAAGAAGCUGAAAAAGAACAGAACAAAGCAAAGUUCAUUCAGUUAGUGGUGAAGAAUGAUAAUACUAGCCUAAGGCAGCUGAGGAAGUUGUUCAAGGAAAAACUCCAACUUAACCAUAAGAAGAUGGAAAAUAAUAACAUCAACACAAAAGUUGUUGGAGGUGGCGUGAAAGUGAGAACUGCUUUACAACCAGUGCCGGAAAACAGAAUGACCGUGCAUUAAAAGUCUAGAAAGAGAGAGCAUUGUGCAUGGUUCAAACUGUGGUUUGCCUCAUGUUAUUGAUUUUGUGUUUGUUUUAUUCUUUCCAUGAUGUAUUUUGAGAGGAGGGAAAAAUGAGGUAAAUGAUUAUUUGUCUGAAUUUUUGUUCAUCAGUUCAAUAAUAAAAAUGCUAGUAGUUUGUGUUUAAAAAAAACAAUACACUUACUGCAGCACCAAGAUACAGGUUGUAGCCAAAUUUCAGGAAAAAAAUAUAUUCAGAUUUUUGCAUAUCGAGAAUUUGGUGAAACGCACCUUGAGUUUAUUUACUCAACUAAUCCACGAGAAUUUGUGAUAUGAACACUCUUGGCAGAGGUCCAUUGACUCCAUCACCAUCAUCAGCAGCAUUAGAAAUGGAGGGAGGUGAAAACCAAAAUGCUUUCAACUUUUUGGCUGGGAAUGAUAAUUCUUCUUUUUGAGUAUAUCCAAAAUACAGGUAAAAUCUUGCUAAUGAGUCAAUCCCACGCCCAUCCAUCUAGUUCAUCACAGAAUACAAACACAACUUCAACAUUAGUUACAGUAAAGAAUUGAUUGUUGACUCAACCAACAUCAAGCAGCUUUUUUUAUUUAACAAUGUUGACUCAACUUAAUUAGUAUGCAUUGUACAAUAGAAGUAGAAGGCAUUGUACAAAUGAAGUAGAGUACAUUGUACAAAUGAAGUAGAGUACAUUGUACAAAUGAAGUAGAGUACUAUUACAACUUCAACCAUAAUUAUGUUCUACAGCCCAGCAUUAGAAAUUGAAUAAAGAACCUUUGUUCACCUUUACCUAAAAUACUAGCCUUUGUGUCCUCUCCACUUGAUUUCUACUUUGGAAUCAUAUUAUUGUUAAACCAUUUAAUCACCCAAAAGCUUAAGCUGAUGGGUUAAGAUAAAUUUUAUAUUGUAUCACCUAGAAUUCACUUCACUUUUGAACAUAAGGACCUCCUCAACUAUCUACUCACUUUUGAACAUACAACCUUGAUAGAACACAGAUGUGGUGUUUCUAUUAUAUUGAUAUUUGAAACUCAAUGUUACAAUAAAAAGAAAAUUACAUAGAAAUUACAAACAACAAACAAAGAAACCCUCCUACUCCAAAACACAAAUAAACAAAAUUAAAAAUACUACAAUUAAAACCAGAAAAGGAUCAUGAGCCUUCUGCUUCCCCUAUCUCUCAUGGAGUAUUGCAGGCCCUUCCUUUUACUAAAAACUGCCUGCCCUUUCCCAUCUCCCUCUCGUUCAUUUAACUUCCUGUUUUAGAUAACUGUCAUCUUUUUUAAGUAACUAUUGUUGGUUCCUAAAGUGCCUUAUUUUUCUUUCUUCUAUUAUAAGUAAAUAACAAUGGUGGCCUAACAGACCUCCUAAACUAUUCACUCUAGACCAUGUUAAAUCACCAAUUCAUCCAAAAACUUAUGAGGUAAAUGUAAUAUUAUAUCUUCUAACCAUUGUCAACUUAAAUUUGCUUUUGACCAUAAGCAGUGGGUUUGCUGAAAUUGAAUGAUGAAUCCAUAAAAUAAAAAUGAAGUUGAAAGUAGAAAAAAUGGAAGGAAGAAAAAUACCCCAAAAGUUCUAAAAGCAAUAUGAUCAUAACAAAUAAUGGAAGGAAAAAUUUUGGCCGGUGGGGAGAAAAGGGAAGACAUGGGUUCGGUUUACAGGGAUUUUUCUUAAUAAUUGCUGGAAGAACAAAGAGGUUUGUGAGGAGAUUUAAGGGUAACCACAAGAAUGGCAGAAUGUUAAAUCCCAAAAGACUAAAUGGUCAAUCGAAUGUUUUAGGCAGUUUGAUCUUUAGCUGUUUUCUUGCUACUUUAUGGAAAUGUUGUAGAAAGAGUAGAACGAUGACAUAGUUCACUUUGUUUCUCUACGUACAAAAUAACCAUUGACUUAAAUCAAAGACAUUGCACCACAAAUGACCAUUAGAAAACAAUAUAAUAGAAAGUAUAAAAAAUAUGCAGAAAUUGAAAAUGAAAUUGGAAAGAAAAAAAAAUGGAAGGAAGAAAAAUACCCCCAAAGUUCCAAGUGCAAUAUGAUCAUAACCAAUUUGUAUCACCAUGAAAAGAUCGAACAAGCUCCAAAAUGGAUUUUACAGUGCGAUUCCAACUCACAUAAGCAGUCUCUAGGAAUGCCAAACCGUUUCUAAGAAAGGAUCAUCACAACCCAUAACUUUAAAUUCUUCAAAACAAUGCAAUGAAAUCAGAGCAGAAAAAAACAGAACAACUCUAACCAACGAUAACUGCAAAAUAAACCUUAUGGAAAUGUUAUAGAAAGAGUAGAACGAUGACAUGGUUCACUUUGUUUUUCUAUUUACAAAAUAACCAAUGAUUUAAAGGAAAGAAUUUGCACCACAAAUGACCAUUAGAAAGCAAUAUACAUAAAAAAGAAUAAAAAAUACGCAGAAAUUGAAAAUGAAAGUGAAAGUAGAAAACAAACUGAAGGAAGAAAAAUACUCCAAAAGUUACAAAUGCAUUACGAUUCGGAAAAAUUUGUAUCAACAUGAACUGAUCGAAUAAGCUCCAAAAUGGGUUUUGCAGUGGAGAGUGGGAAAAAUUCUCGCCGGUGGGAAGAGAAGGGAAGACAUGGGGUUCAGUUUACACAGAUUUUUCUUAAUGAUUGUUGGAAGAACAAAGAGAUUGUGAGGAGAUUUAAGGGCAACGACAACAAUGACAGAAUGUUAAAUCUCGAAAGACUAAAUGGCCAAAUUGAGUCUUUAAGCCAGUUCGAUCUGCCUGUUAGCUGGUUUCUUGCUUCUUUAUGGAAAUGGGGUAGAAAGAGUAGAAUGAUGAUAUAGUUAACUUUGUUUUUCUCUUUACAAAGUAGCCAAUGACUUAAAAGAAAGACAUUGCACAACUUGUGACCAUUAGAAAAUAAUAUACAUAAGAAAGAAUAAAAAAUAAGCAGAAAUUGAAAAUGAAAUUGGAAGUAGAAAAGAAAUGGAAGAAAAAUACCCCAAAACUUCAAAAUGCAAUAUGAUCAUAACAAAUUUGUAUCAUCAUGAACAGAUCGACCAAACUCCAAAACAGAUUUUGCAGUGGGCUUCCGACUCAAAUAAACAGCCUCCAUGCUCACCAAAACGUUCCUAAGAAAGGAUUCAGCUCCCUACCAACAUGCAUCACAUCCCAUAACUUUAAUUUCUUCAGAAACAACGUAGUUAACUGAAGGUAAAAAAAUCAGAACAAGAACACUAACCAACUUCUUAGGAAUCAGCUCCCUACCUCCGAAUGCGUCGGGUUCGUUCAGGAUCAAAAGUUGCGUAGGGAAAUCUUCACUCUUGGCUGAAGCAACAAUAGCAUGUAGAAAGUAGAAGAGUAAAGCUGGUUAGAUCAGAAUGCAUCGGGUUCCUUCGGUAUCAGAAUUUGCGUAGGAAACUCUUCCCUCUUGGUUGAAGCAACAAUUUCCAAUAGAAAGUAGAAGAGUUAAACCAGUUAGAUAAGAAUGCGUCGGGUUCCUUCAGAAUCAAUACUUGCGUAGGAAACUCUUAACUCUUGGAGGAAGCAAAAAUAACAUGUAGAAACUCAAAAAGUUAAGUCGGUUAGGUCAAAAUGCGUCGAGUUCCUUCGGAAUCAGAAUUUUCGUAAGGAACUCUUCACUCUUGGUCGAAGUAGGAAUAGCCCGUUGGAAAUAGAUGAGUUAACACUUCAAAAAUACUUCCUAUAAAAAGUUAUUAUAUAUAGGGACAAUCUUCCUUUGUGUUUGGACUGCACCCAUGCAUUUAUAGCACAGGAGCAUUCCUUUAGAUCACAUCGUAUCCUUUAGAGAUCGCAGUUUGCUACCUUGAUUUUCAACUUUUGUCGAGCCCUUUAGAGUUAGUUUGGUUUGAAAUAGAGAUUGUUGUCUUAUGCGAUCAAGGUUGUGAAAUAUCUCACUAGAUUUUUUUUAAUGGAACAUUUGAUUAGAGAGUAAGGGUUUUGAGAGGUCUUGGGAGGAGAUUGAGACCAUUGCUGGUUUAAGGCAUUUGUUAGUUAAAAACAUUACUUUAUCCCGUAUAUCUAAGACAAGCCAAGCUUAUUUUCUUCUUAAAACAUACUAUAAUUAGUCAAACAAAAAAAUGUUAAUAGUCAAAUACAUUUUUUAUUUGACAAUUAAUUGUGUUAAUUACAACAAUAACUAUAAAAAUUGGUUAUCAUCCUGUUUUGUUUAAAAAUCAAAUCAAGAGUUUAACUAAAUGGAAUGCACUACAAUGAUGAUUCUGCUAUUAUCAGUAAUACACAAACCUUGCAUAUUGAGUGAUGAGGAUCUCGAAGAUUGACCAGUAGAUUAUCACUUUCAAAAUCAAAGUGCACAAUAUUCUUUCUGUGCAGGUGUUCCAUUCUAAAAGCCGCAUCCAUAGCAAUCAAGAGGCGCUUCCACUUUUCAAGACUCCUGCAUCAAUUGUAUUUAUGCUUAAUCUAAGGGUGAAGAUACAUUAUACUGCAACUAACUUCUAACAAAUUAAAUUAAACGUAUGAAAAAUGAGAACAAUUGUUACUUUUCAUUCUUCAACAAAGCAUUUUUGAGCGAACCAUUGGCCAUAUAUUCUGUUACUGUGGCCACAGAUCUCCCAGGCCCAUCAAGCACGACACCAUAAAAAGUACCACAUUUGGGUGGUGCAAAUCAGCAAACUUAAUUGCUUCAUUCUAAAAAUCUUCUCACUGGUACAAUAUAAAACAACAAAAAGGACUUGAGUCAAGGAACAAAAAGAAAAUACACGAAUAACAAAAGAAAAGAAAAGCCAGUUGCUUAAAAUGAACAACCUUGCGAUCUUGUUUAGAAGGUUUCCCAGCAAAACACCUCUCAUUGAUUCGUUUUAUAGCAACAUCAGUCCCCUCCAUUUUCCAUGGUAAAAAGUGCCAAAGGUGCCGGACCCCAAUUCUCUUAAUUCUUCAAGGUCACUAUUCUUUAUUACCCGAAGGAAAGAAGAAAAAGAAAAAAAAAGAUGUUCGGAUGGACAAUUUAAACAUAAAGUGCAACCUUAAGGUUAAAAAUGGAAAACUAAGUAUUACCUGCAAGCGGCCAAGGCCUUUUGACAUUGGAAAACCAGGAUUUGCUUUACCUAAAAGUCUUGUCCUGCCAUCGUGGGCAAACAUGAAACAAGAAUAAUUAUGGCAAAAAACGUGACAUAUUCCCGUUGAAUAGCCAAAUGAAUGAUGUGUAUGUUGCAUCUUGUUUUGGAGAAUGUUCAGCAUUGUAUUGGUGUCUUAUUUACACUUUGUAUAAAUCAGUCAGAUGUCUUGAAUGGUGCUUUUGCAUUGCUUUGUUUGCAUUCCACUCUCAGAUAAUGGAAGACAAUAAAAAUAAUCCUCUUGUUUUACUUGUGUUUUAGUAUGCUUCCUUUUAUCCAUUGUUUGGAACUUUCCUUCAAAUGGUUGAGCUUCUGGUGUCAAAGUACCAUCACAUUUGUUGUAAUUUAUUGAGCUCUUUAGUUAUUUUAUUACUCUAGUUGAAUGGCAUAACUUUCGUUUAAAUAUACAUUCAAAUCUAAUCUUACUUUAACCACUAGUAUAUGUAUGUAUACGUGUAAACAAAAUCUUGUAAUAUUGUGUUAUCUUAUUAACUAUGUUGUGAAGUUUAUGUAACAUUUCACUUGAUUGUACUUUUUUUUAAAAUAGGACAUUUUUUUCAUAAUUUUUCAAACACAACUAAUAUCUACUUGGACUCCUUGUACUCCUUGUAAAUGGAGUGUAUUCUUGAUUAACUUAAACACUUAAAUUUUUUUACCACACAUAUCAAUUACUAAAAUUUCAUAAUAUCAAAAUUCAACAUAUCCAUAAGUUAAAAAACAUAUUUUGUAAUAAUACUCGAAAUUUGGGAUGGGUAGUCUGGGUUGUUAGUGUUGUCAGUGUUAGAAUACCCCUAGUGGUUUGUGUCAAAAAAGUCUCCUUUUAAAAGUUGAAAGAUGCCCUUAAACUUUCGAAAACGGUUCAAAAAUACCAUUGUCUUUGGUUUUAGAUGAAAGUCGCUAAAGUUUUGUUUAAAAAAUAAUCAUCAACUAUUGAAAAGUUCUGUUUAAAAAAUAUUGAUGAAUUAUUGAAAGUUCCAUAAAUAUCCUUUUAAGCUUAAAAAAAUUCAAAAAAUGUUCAUCAUCCAAUUCAUACACCUAUUUCUUUACACUUAUAAUAAAAAGCCCAUAGAAAGUAGAGAACUUUUCACUCUUGCCUGAAGCUACAAUAGCCCGUAGAAAGUAGGAGAGUUAAGCUUGUUAGGUUAGAAUGCGUCGGGUUCGUUUGGGAUCAAAACUUGCAUCAGAACUCUUCACUCACGGUCGAAGCUACAAUAGCUGGUAGAAAGUAGGAGAGGUAAGCCUAUUAAGUCAUAAUGCAUUGGGUUCUUUCAGGAUCAAACUUUCGUAGGAAACUCUUCACUCUCCGAAGCCACAAUAACUUGUAGAAAGUAGGAAAGAUAAGUUGGUCAGGUCAAAAUGCGUCGGGUUCCUUCCGUAGUAUUUGCGUAGGGAACUCUUCACUCUUGGUGAAAGCAACAAUUUCCUGUAGAAAGAAGGUGAGUUGAAGCGAUUAGAUCAUAAUGCGAUGGUUCCUUCGGGAUCAAUACUUGCGUAGGGAACUCUUAACUCUUGGUGGAAGCAAAAAUAGCCCGUAGAAAGUCGAAGAUUUAAGCCAAUUAGUUUAGAAUGUGUCGAGUUCCUUCGGGUUCAAAAUUUUCGUAGGGAACUCUUCACUCUUGGUCGAAGCAACAAUGGCCGGUUGAAAGUAGAAGAGUUAAGCCAGUUAGGUCAGAAUGCAUGUUUGGUUCUUUAGAUAUCCGAACUUGCACAGGGAAAUCUUCACUCAUGGUCGAAGCAACAAUAACCUGUAGAAAGUAGGAGAGUUAAGCUGGUUAGGUCAGAAUGUGUCGGCUUUCUUUGGGAUCAGAACUUGUGUCGGGAACUCUUCACUCUCGAUUGAAGCCACAAUAGCUCGUAGAAAGUAGGAGAAUUAAGCCGGUUAGGUUAAAAUGCAUCGGGUUCUUUGGGAUCAUAACUUCUUCGACAACUCUUCACUCUCGGCCGAAGCCACAAUAGCCCGUAGAAAGUACGGGAGUUAAGCCAUUUAUGUUAGAAUGCAUCGGGUUCCUCGAGAAUCAGAACUUGCGUAGGAAACUCUUAACUCUUAGUCAAAGCAACAAUAACGCAUAGAAAGUCGGGAGUUAAGCCGGUUAGGUCGGUAUGCAUCGGUUUCUUCGGAAUCAAAAUUUGCUUAGGGAACUCUUCACUUUUGGCUGAAGCAACAAUAGCCCGUAGAAAGUAGGAGAGUUAAGCUGGUUAGGUCGGAAUGCGUCGGGUUCACUUCGUAUCAAAAUUUUCGUAGGGAACUCUUCCCUCCUGGCCAAAGAAUAAUUUAUAGAAAGUAGGAGAGUUAAAGCGGUUAGAUCAGAAUGUGUCGGGUUCCUUCGGGAUCCAUACUUGCGUAAGGAACCCUUAACUCUUGGCUGAAGCAAAAAGAGCCUGUACAAAGUCGGAUAGUUAAGCCAAUUAGGUCAGAAAUGCGUCGAUUUCCUUCAGGAUCAAAAUUUUCGUAGGGAACUCUUCACUCUUGGUUGAAGCUUCAAUAACCCGUUGGAAGUAAAAGAGUUAAGCCAGUUAGGUGAGAAUGCGUUUAGAUCUUUCAAUAUAAGAACUUGCGUAGGGAAAUCUUCACUUAUGGUCGACGCAACAAUAGCCCGUAGGAAGUAGGAGAAUUAACUCGGAUAGGUCAGACUGCAUCGAGUUCCUUUGGGAUCAGAACUUGUGUCAGGAACUCUUCACUCUCAGUUGAAGCCACAUAGCCCAUAGAAAGUAGGAGAGUUAAGCCGAAUAUGUUAAAAUGCAUCGGGUUCCUUCCUGACCAGAAAUUUCAUGGAACUUUCACUCUCGGCUAAAGCCACAAUAGCCUGUAGAAAGUAGGAGAGUUAAGCCAGUUAGGUCAAAAUGCAUUUGGUUCCUUCGAUAUAGAACUUGCAUAGGGAACUCUUAACUCUUGGUCGAAGCAACAAUAGCCCAUAAAAAGGUUGAGAGUUAAGCGGUUAGGUCGGAAUGCGUCGGGUUCCUUCAGGAUCAAAAUUUGCGUAGGGAAUGCUUUCUUGGCCGAAGCAACAAUAACUUGUAGAAAGUAGGAGAGUUAAGCUGGUUAGGUCAAAAUGUGUCAGGUUCCUUCAAUAUCAGAAUUUCCAUAGGGAACUCUUCCCUCUUGGCCGAAGCAAUACUAUAGAAAGUAGGAGAGUUAAAGUGGUUAAAUCAUAAUUCAUUGGGUUCCAUCGGGACCAAUACUUUCGUAGGGAACUCUUAACUCUUGGUGGAAGCAAAAAUAGCCUGUAGAAAGUAAGAGAAUUAAGACGGUUAGGUCAGAAUGCAUCGAGUUCCUUUGAAAUCAGAAUUUUCGUAGGGAACUCUUUACUAUUGGCCGAAGCAACAAUAGCUCGUUGGAAGUAGAAAAGUUAAGCCAGUUGGGUCAGAAUGCAUUUGGUUCUUUCGAUAUCAGAACUUGCAUAGGAAAAUCUUCACUCAUGGUGAAAGCAAUAAUAGCUCGUAGAAAGUAAUAGAGUUAAGCUGGUUAGGUUAGAAUGCAUCGAGUUCCUUUGGUAUCAUAACUUGUGUCAGGAACUCUUCCCUCUUAGCUGAAGCCACAAUAGCCCAUAGAAAGUAUGAGAGCUAAGCAAAAUAGGUUAAAAUGCGUCGGGUUCCUUCAGAUCAGAACUUGUGUUGGGAACUUUUCACUCUCGUUGAAGCCACAAUAGACCAUAGAAAGUAGGAGAGUUAAGCCGAAUAGGUUAAAAUGCAUCUAGUUCCCUCGAGAUCAGUAUUUCAUCAACAACUCUUCACUCUCGACUAAACCCACAAUAGCCCGUAGAAAGUAGGAGAGUUAAAUCGGUUAGUCAGAAUGGUCGGGUUCCUUUAGGAUCAGAACUUGCUUAGAGAACUCUUCACUCUUGGUCGAAGCCACAAUAGCCCGUAGAAAGUAGGGGAGUUAAGACGGUUGGGUCAGAAUGCAUCGGGUUCCUUCAGAAUAAGAACUUGCAUAUAGAACUCUUAACUCUUGGUCGACAGCAACAAUAGGUCGUUGAAGAGAGAGUAAGUUAAGCUAGUUCGGUCAAAUGCAUUCGUUCUUUCGAUAUUAGAACUUGCGUAGGAAAAUCUUCACUCUGUCGAAGCAACAAUAGCCCAUAAAAAGUAGAAGAGUUAAGCAUAUUAGGUCAGAAUGUAUAGAGUUCCUUUGAGAUCAGAACUUGUGUCCGGAACUCUUCACUCACGGCCGAAGCCACAAUAGCCAUAAAAAGUAAGAGAGUUAAGCCGAUCAGGUUAGAAUGCGUCUGGUUCCUUCGUGAUCAGAACUUGUUGGUGAACUCUUCACUCUCGACCAAGCAACAAUAGCCUGUAGAAUGUAGGAGAAUUAAGUCGGAUAGCUCAGAGUGCGUAGGGUUCCGUCCGGAUCAAAACUUUCAUAAUGAAAUCUUCACUUAUGGUCGAAGCAACAAUAACAUGUAGAAAGUAGGAGAGUUAAGCCGAUUAGGUUAGAAUGCGUCGAGUUGCUUUGGGAUUAGAACUUGUGUGAGGAACUCUUCACUCUCGGCCGAAGCCACAAUAGCCCGUAGAAAGUAAAAGAGUUAAGCUGGUUUGAUUAAAAUGAAUCGGGUUCUUUUAGAAUCAGAACUUGUUCGUGAACUCUUCACUCUCGGCUGAACCUACAGUAGCCCGUAAAAUGUAGGAGAGUUAAGCCGAAAAGCUCAAAGUGUGUCAGGUUCCUUCCGAAUCAGAACUUUUAUCGGGAACUCUUCACUCUCGGCUAAAGCCACAAUACCCCAUAGAAAGUACGAGAGUUAAGUCGGUUAGGCAAAAAUGCAUCGGGUUCCUUCGUGAUCAAAACUAGCGUAGAGAACUUUUCACUCUUUGGUCGAAGCCAUAAUAACCCGUAGCAUGUAGGAGAGUUAAGCUGGUUAGUUCAGAAUGUGUUGGGUUCCUUCGAGAUCAGAACUUGUGUGGAGAACUCUUCAAUCUUUGUCGAAGCCAUAAUAACCCAUAGAAAGUAGGAGAGUUAAAUCGAUUAGGUCAGAGUGCAUCGGGUUCCUUCGAGACAUGAACGUGCAUUAGGUACUCUUCACUCUUGGAUGAAGCAAUAACAGCCCAUAGAAAGUUAGAGAGAUAAGUUGAUUAGGUCGCAAUGCAUCGGGUUCCUACGGGAUCAAAACUUGCGUAGGGAACUUUUCACUUUUGGUUGUAGUAACUAUAGCCGGUAGAAAGUAGGAGAGUUAAGCGGGUUAGGUCAAAAUCCAUCGGGUUCCUUUGAGUUCAGAACUUGCGUAAAGAACUUUUCACUUCGCCGAAGCCACAAUAGGCCGUAGAAAGUAGGAAAGUCAAGCCGGUUAGGUCAGAAUGCAUCGGGUUCCUAAAUUGCAUAAGGAACUCUUCACUCUUGGUUGAAGCAACAAUAGCCUGUAGAAAGUUGGAUAGUUAAGCUAGUUAGGUCAGAAUACGUCAGGUUCCUUCAGAAUCAAAGCUUGCGUAGAGAACUCUUCACUCUUGGCUGAAGCAACAAUAACCGGUAGAAAGUAGGAGAGUUAAGCUGGUUAGGUUGGAAUGUAUCAAGUUCUUUACGUAUCAGAAUUCACAUAGGGAACUUUUUACUCUUGGCCAAAGCAUCAAUUUCUGUAGAAAGUAGGAGAGUUAAAGUGGUUAGGUCAGAAUGCGUCGGGUUCCUUCGGGAUCGAUAGUUGUAUAGGUAACUCUUCACUCUUGGCCGAAGCAACAAUAGCUAGUUGAAAGUAGAAGAGUUAAGCCAAUUAGGUCAGAAUGCGUUGGGUUCCUUCGAUAUCAGAACUUGCGUAGGAAAAUAUUCACUCACGGCCGAAGCAACAAUAGCCUGUAGAAUGUAGGAGAGUUAAGCCGAUUAGGUCAAAAUUCGUUGGGUUCUACGGUAUUCAACUUUUCCUUCCUUACACUUCUUUUUUUCUUGUUCAUUUUAUUGAUAUAAUUUUUACCACAACUCAUCAGAUAGGAAUUGAUAACCAUUUUCUUUUUUAGAACUGUUUUCUUUUUAUUUUAAAAAUUAAACAUAUAUACAAUGCUUGCACUUUUAAGAUUAGUGGCGAUUUAAGAAGAAUGAUGAUGGUUCAUUCGUGACUUUCAUUUGUGGUUCUAGGCCUCUAAAAUUUUUUUCAAUUACAAUACUAUGACGUCAAAUAACUGUCGCGAAAAGUAUUAUCCGAAAAGUUUCGCCUUUUCCCGCGUUUUUUUUUCCUUUUGUGAUAAUUUUUUUUCCUCCCUCCAUUUUGUGAUAUAAACAACUGUCGUAGUAGAUAAUUUUUGUUGUAGUGUUACUACAUUUGGAACUUGACAAAAACCUGUUUGCUAGAUGAUCCCUUAUAUGACUCAAUUUCUUUUUCCUAGUGUUUUUAUUCACUUAUAAAGUCAUUUCAAACACAAUACUAUACAUUUGAUUUGUGAACUUUAGUCACUAUGGUUUCUUUACCUAUGCAUUGCCAAAUCAAGCACUAUACCAUAAAACUUCUAGGACUAACUUAUGAAUUGAUCAAUUAAAAUGACAUGAUUUGCACUAUAGACGCCUUUUGCACACCACUUAGGUUGGUUUAGCACUAUAGUUCUUGUCUUAUUUACCAUUUUUGGUCGUUAAUUCCUUCUUUGUUUUUCAAUUUUUGGUAGUUUAUGAGUUAAGAAAGCUCACACUUAAGCAUUGUUUGAUAGUCUUUACAGCCUAAGCACCUCUUGGACACUACAUAGGUUGGUUGGCACUAUAGUUGAUGCACUUGCACACUUGGUUUCCAUUUAAGGUCCUUAAGUCCUUUUUGGUCACUUUUUGGUAGGUUAUGUGUUGGAAAUUGAUAAGAAACCCCUAGGCAUUGGAUCUAAGAAUCAUGUUAAACAACAAGACUCAAAGAACACAACCCCACUAGCCGCAAAACCAAUUUGAUUUCAACCCCUAAGAUAGGCUACAUACAAAUUGCUUAGAUGAUCUAAGAAACCAAGGAUCGAACAAAAUUAGAAACUCCCAUCAAUCCUUAAUCUUCAAAACACUCCACAAGUAAGGUAGAUCAAUUCUCACUUGAAUGCUUCAAAUGUUUGUGCAUUCUAUCACAACAGACAAGAACAAAAUUCUACAUUCUAGAAUUUUCAGAUUUCUUUCAUCCCAAAUUCUUCUUUUUAAAUGUGGAAAAAUUACAACCCUAUUUAUACUAAUUAAAAUAUGAAAUGAAAGGUCAAAACAUUUAAUUUGAUAACCUUUCAACUAACAUAAUAACUAAAAACACAUAAACAUUAUUUCUUAAACAUUUAAAUUUAUGACUUUUGAGUUGCCCAAAAUAACUCUUCAACUUCCAAGCAUUGCAUCUACUCAACUUCUUCAUUUGAUUCAAUCAUGAUUUCUUGAUCCAUAUCAGGAAUGCUCACAGUUAAACAUUCUUGGUUUGUCUUUAAACCUUAGGCACCUUUUGGACACUACUUGGGUUGGUCUGGCACUAUAGUUGUUGCUUUUGUGCACUUAUUUUCAUUUUGGGUCGUUAAGUCCUUUUUUCUGACAUUUUGGUAGAUUUUGAGUUGAGAAAGCUCACACUUAAGCAUUCUUUGGUUGUGUUUAUAUAAUAGGCACGUUUUUUAAACUACUUAGGUUUGUUUGGCACUAUAAUUAUUGCACAUGCGCACUUGGUUGCCAUUUCGGGUCGUUAAGUUAUUUUUUCAGAUAUUUUGGUAGGAUAUGAGUCGACAAAGCUCACACUUACAAGUUCUUGGGUUGCAUUUACAGCUUAGGCACUUUUUGGACACUACUUAGGUAUGUUUCGCACUAUAGUUGUUUCACUUAGGCACUUGGUUGCCAAUUGGGGUCGUUAAGUCUUUUUUUUUUUACAUUUUUGUUUGUUAUGAGUCGAGAAAGCUCACACUUAAAUAUUAUUUGGUUGCGUUUAUAGCUUACGCAACUUUUGGAUACUACUUAGGUAUGUUUGACAUUUUAUUUGUUGCUCUUGGGCACAUGCUUGCCAUUUCGAGUCGUUAAAUCAUUUUUUCUGACUUAUCGGUAGGUUAUGAGUCGGGAAAGCUCACACUUAAGCAUUCUUUGGUUGUCUUUAAACCUUAGUCACCUUUUAGACACUAAUUAGGUUGUUUUAACAGCAUAUUUGUUUAACUUACGCACUUGGUUGAAAUUUUUGUUCAUCAAGUCCUUUUUUGUGAUUUUUUGGUAGCUUAUGAGUUAAGAAAGCUCACACUUAAGCAUUCAAUGGUUGCCUUUACAACUUAACACCGUUUGGAUAGUAGUUAGGUUGGUUUGACACUAUAGUUAUUGAAUUUGGGCACUUGGUUGCCAUUUCGGGUUGUUAAGUCAUUUUUUUCUCAUUUUUUCGUAGCUUAUGAGUUGGAAAAGCUCACAGUUAAGCAUUGUUUGGUUGAUUUUAAGCCUUAUGCACCUUUUGGACACUAGUUAGGUUAGUUUGGCACUAUAUUUGUUGCACUUGGUUGCAAUUCGAGUCGUUAAGUCCUUUUUUCUAACAUUUUGGUAGGUUAUAAGUAGAGAAAGUUCACACUGAAGCAUUCUUUGAUUGCAUUUACAACGUAGGCACCUUUUGGACACUACCUAGGUUGGUUUGGCAUUAUAGCUGUUGCACUUGGACACUUGAUUUCCACUUCAGGUCGUUAAGUCCUUUUUCUCACAUUUUUUAAAGUUAUGAUUUGGAAAAUCUCACACUUAAGCAUUUUUUUUGCUGUCUUUAAACCUUAGGAACCUUUUGGACAUUAAUAAGGUUUCUUUGGCACCAUAGUUGUUGCACUUUGGCACUUGGUUGCAAUUUCGGGUUGUUAAGUCCUUUUUUCUAACUUUUGUUAGGUUAUGAGUCGGGAAAGCUAACACUUAAGCAUUCUUUUGUUUCCUUUACAGCUUACGCACCUUGGUUUGGCACUAUAGUUGUUGUACCUUGGCAUUUGGUUGUCAUUCCGGGUUGUUAAAUUCUUUUUUCUAACUUUUUAGUUGGUUAUGAGUCUAGAAAGCUCACAUUUAAGCAUUCUUUGGUUUUCUUUAAAGCUUAGGCACCUUUUGGACACUACUUAGGUUUAUUUGGCACUAUAGUAGUUGCAUUUGGGCACUUGGUUGCGAUUUUAGGUUGUUCAGACCUUUUUUUCUCACUUUUUGGUAGCUUAUGCAUUGGAAAAGCUCACAGUUAAGCAUCGUUUGGUUGUCUUUAAAUCUUAGGCACAUUUUGGACACUAGUUAGGUUUGUUUGGCACUAUAGUGUUGCAUCUGGACACUUGGAUGCAAUUUGUGUCGUUAAGUCCUUUUUUCUAAUAUUUGAGUAGGUUAUGAGUAGAGAAAGCUAACACUUAAACAUUCUUUGUGUUGGAAUUUAUGUCCUAAAACAGAACAAGAAUUCUAACCAACGAUAACAAAAAAAUCCACCUUAACCCUUGAUCCAUGCCGUCCAUUGGGAGGUACAGCACUGGACAUGAUUGAGAACUAUCGGUUCCCAGCCGCAAGUUUCGACAUCGACAAAGAUUUUCCAAGGGAAAUGAAAAUUUUGGAAAUGGGUAGUGAAGAAAAAUAAGGUUGAAAGGAUUUGUUUGGAGAGUGGACAAAAUUAUGACCGAUGUGGAGAAAAGGGAACAUGAUUCUACAGGGAUUUUUUUAAGGAUUGUUGGAAUAACAAAGAGAUUGUGAGGAGAUUUAAGGGCAACGACAAGAAUGGCAGAAUGUUAAAUCCCAAAAGACUAAAUGGCCAAUUGAAUGUUUAAGUAGAUUGAUUUGCCUGUUAGCUGUUUUCUUGCUUCUUUACGGAAAUGGGGUAGAAAGAGUAGAACGAUGACAUAGUUCACUUUGUUUUUCUCUUUACAAAGUAGCCAAUGACUUAAAAGAAAGACAUUGCACAACAAGACCAUUAGAAAAUAAUAUACGUAAGAAAGAAUACAACGUAAGCAGAAAAGAAAUGGAAGAAAAAUACCCAAAACUUCAAAAUGCAAUAUGAUCAUAACAAAUUUGUAUCAUCAUGGACAGAUCGAACAAACUCCAAAACAGAUUUUGCAGUGGGCUUCCGACUCAAAUAAACAGCCUCCAUGCUUGCCAAAUUCCUAAAGGCAGCGCAAUUAAGCAGUAACCAUCAAUUCAAAACAACAGGAAAGACAGAAAGAGUUGCAAUGCGUUAGUUUACUGUUUCAGAUCGCUUUAGAAGGGGACCCUGCAACAAAUUCCGACCAGACCCAGAGGCCAGCUGCCGCUUGAUCUUCUCCAAACUGUCCCCGGCAUCUUCCGCUCUCUCCACCAACAACAAUCAUAAAUUAAAAACAUGUUGAGCCAACAAAGAUACACACCAGCAAACUUUUGAACAUAGGACCCUCCUAAACUACUCACUUUUGAACAUAGGACUUCCCCAACUAUCUACUCACUUCUGAACAUACAACCUUGAUAGAACACUUAUGUACUGUUUCUAUUAUAUUGAUAUUUGAGACUUAAAGUUGCAAUAGAAAGAAAAUUACAGAGAAAUUACAAACAACAAGCAAAGAAACCCUCCUAAUCCAAAACAGAAAUAAACACAAUUCAAAAUACUACAAUUAAAACCAGAACAAUUCUGGCAGGCCCUUCCUUUUACUAAAAACUGCCUGCCCUUUCCCAUCUCCCUCUCAUCCAUUUAACUUCCUGUUUUAGAUAACUGUCAUCCUUUUGAAUAAGUAACUGUGUUGAUUACUAACGUGCCUUACUUUCCUUUCUUCUAUUAUAAGUAAAAUAACAAUGGUGGUCUAACAGACCUCCUAAACUAUCCACUCUAGAGCAUGUUAAAUCACCAAUUCAUCCAAAAACUAAUGACGUAAAUGUAAUAUUAUAUCUUCAACGUAAAUGUAAAUGUAAACUAAUGACACUACAAGUGAUUUUGAAACUAAGACAUUGAAGCAGUCUGUUAGGAAGGGUGAUGGAACCAGCAAGAGUGGGGGAGUUCUUUAAAACAAUCAGAGGUCAAGAGAAAGAAGGGAUCAGCUAAAUCUAUUUCUGGAAAAAACGUGAAAAGAUUGUCAGGUGAUGAUGAUAAAAAGGAAACCACACCUGUGCUGAAACCAGCCUCCAAAAAUUGGAAGUAAAUCAAAGGAUCAAGGCACUCUUGAAAUUGGAAGUAAACUUGGUAGCACAGGGAAUACGUGGGGUUCGGCUUACAGGAUUUUUCUUAAUGAUUGUUGGAAGAACAAAGAGAUUGUGAGGAGAUUUAAGGGUAACGACACAAAUGCAGAAUGUUAAAUCCAAAAAGGCAAAAUGGCCAAUUGAAUAUUUAAGGAAGUUUGAUCUGCCUGCUAGCUGUUUUCUUGCUUCUUUAUGGAAAUGUGUAAGACCUCCAAUUAUUCAUACAUAUCAAAGGAGGGGCAGAAAAGUAAUUGGACAAAUUAAUAAUGAGGAAGGAAAAAGAGGAGGAGAUCGUGCAGGUGGGGCCCAGGCACAGAAAUAAGAGAAAGAUGAGAGAAGGAAUAUAAAUAGGUUUUUUAGGUCUAGGGGAGGUAGGUUUUAUUUUUAUCCUGAAGUUGGCGGCUGCUUAGCCUAGAGGAAUAUCCAGUCUUUCCCUAGAGGAAGCUGGGUUGGUCUUCAUUAUUCCUUGUUUUUCUUGAAUCUUUAUGUUUUUCUGUACUCAUUUUGGCUAUAUAUAAAUAAAGAUAGCAGAGGGCUACCUCUGUUUUUGGCCAUUGUAAGGGAGAAAUAGUGAAGUAAGCAAGUUGAAUCCUUACAUAUUGGUAUCAGAGCCUCCACACUGGGGUGAUCACGCGUCUGAUGGCUCAAAGACAGAUAGAAGAACGGGUAGAAGGUACUGAAAAGGAAAUUAUGAGUCUGAAGGAGAUGAUGCUGGAAAUGAAGAAAUCGAUGGAUCGAAUGACAGACGAGCUAAGAGAAAACCAUGGUGCUAAGAAAAAAGAAGAAGCAGGGACUACGGACGACAUCAGGUUGAAACUGAAGGGAAAACUGGAAGAGGCCGGAACCACAGUCGUCGGGUGGAAGCAGCGCAACCGAAGUAAGUACAAAAAAUUAGAAAUGCCACUGUUUACAGGGUGAACCCUGAAUCCUGGGCGUACCGAGCAGAACAUUUUUUGAUAUAAAUGACUUACCGGAAGCUGAGAAGGUCAAAGUAGCAGUCGUGAGUUUUGGACAGGAAGAGGUAGACUGGUUUAGAUGGAGUAAUCGUAGAAAGAGGGUGGAAUCUUGGGAGGACUUGAAGGAAAGGAUGUUUGAUUUCUUUAAUGAUACAGGACAGCAGAGCUUGGGGGCAAGAUUAAUCCGUAUUAAGCAAGAAGGCUCAUACAGCGAGUACGUUAAGAAGUUUGUUACAUACUGAGCCCCCCUCCCGGACAUGGCAGAAGUGUUCUGCUGGAUGCGUUUUUAACGGGUCUGGAACCCUCACUGCAAGCGGAAGUAAUCAGCAGACACCCUCAAACUUUAGAGGAAUGUAUGAAGGAAGCUCAGCUGGUGAAUGAUAGGAAUAUAGCAUUAAAACUGGCGAUGGAAGAGUUGGAUAUAGUUGAGCCCAAAAGGAAUGAGAACAGCAGCAAAUUUCAAGGAAAAAAUGAGAAGACAGAAAGUAAAAAGACAGAGUUUGUGAUGAAGCAGGUAACUAUUCCAUUGAAAAAUGAUUACCAGAAAAAGAUCCCCCAAUUAAACGGCUGUCGGAUACGGAAUUUAGAGCAAGGCUGGAUAAGGGGCUUUGUUUCAGAUGUAAUGAAAAGUACGCCCCAGGCCAUCGAUGUAAAGGGAGAGAAAAAAGAGAGUUGAUGCUCCUUAUACUAAAUGAGGAAGAAGACCACAAAAGGGAAGAGGAUACAGAGGAUGAGGCAAGCGAAGUAAUAGAACUGAAUCAUCUGGAAUUGAAUAUGGAUAACCCUAUUGAAUUGAGGUUGAUCACGGGAGUUACAUCAAAAGGGACGAUGAAAUUAAAAGGACAUGUGAACGGAAGGGAAGUAGUUAUUCUGAUUGACAGCGGGGCGACCAAUAACUUCAUCAGCCAAGUGUUGGUAGAUGAACUACAGCUGAGCAUCGAUCCGGGAACUCGUUUUGGAGUUACCAUUGGAAUGGCAACCAAUGUGAAGGAAGUGGGAUUUGCAAGAGGGUGAAGGUGAAGUUAAAAGAGUUAACAAUCGUAGCAGAUUUCCUAGCGGUAGAGUUAGGAACGGUAGACUUGGUGCUUGGGAUGCAAUGGCUAGAUUCGACAGGAACCAUGAAGGUUCACUGGCCAUCCCUAACCAUGACGUUUUGGAUGAAGGGUAGAAGAAUAAUCCUAAAAGGUGACCCUUCUCUAACGAAGUCAGAAUGUUCAUUGAGAACCUUCGAGAAAACGUGGCAAUCCGGGGACCAAGGAUUCCUCUUGGAAUUCGAAAAACUAUGAAGUAAACUAUGAAGGAGAAUCGGAAACAGAAGCUGAAUUGAAGGGAAAGGAAGAAGGAUUACCCAUGGUUCAGCGAUUGCUCGAGCAAUAUGCAGAUGUCUUUAGGUUGCCCACGGGUUUACCGCCAAGGAGAGCCAUAGACCAUCGCAUUCUGACCGUGGCCGAUCAGAAACCAAUUAAUGUAAGACCAUAUAAGUAUGGCCAUGUACAAAAGGAAGAGAUUGAAAAAUUGGUGUUAGAAAUGUGAUAGAACACUGAUAUAGUGUUUCUAUUUAUUGAUAUUUGCAACGGAAUUACAAUCUCAAAGCAGUAAAAGAAAAUAUAAAGAACCCUAACCCUUGCCCUUCCUCUCUUUCAAGGAAUAUUGCAGCCUUAAUUCUUCACCCUUCUCCCUCCCAACAAACUCCUAUUUAUAUUCCAUACCCAACUCCUAUUUAUACUCUAACUAACUUCUCUCUCCAUAACAAACUCCUACUUAUGCUCUAUUAUUUUAUUAUGGAGCAUCUACUAACAAUAUUAAAACUAAGGCUAUUCUCCUAGCACGUGCGGUUAACCUCUUCUUUUUCCUUCUACUGUAUUGUGUAUAAUUGGGGGUCUAUCAUUACAUUCCCUUUCCAAAUGCACCUUGUCCUCAAGGUAAAAAUCGGAAAUUUCUUCUGAAAGUCUUCAUACUCCUCAAUAACUGGAAUGGAAACUUAUCGGGUAUAGUCACGUUGUUUAAGACUCUAUAAUCCACGCAGAAUCUCCAGCUUCCAUCCUUCUUCCGUACUAACAGAACCAGGCUGGAAUAUGGCUAUUACUUGGGCGAAUAACUCCUGAACUCAGCAUCUCUUCCACCAAUCUCUCCAUCUCCGCCUUUUGUUGGUAUCCAUAGCGAUACGGCCUCACAUUUACCGGGUCAGUUCCUUGUUUCAAAUAGAUAUGAUGCUCAAUACUCUUCGUGGAGGUAGAGUCUCCGGCCAUGUAAAAACAUCUUCGAAUUUCUUCAGGACAACUGAAACUGCCUCGUCCACCGUUAGUAUUUCCUCAAUUCCAUUAUCUUCUGAGGGCUCGUACAUUGUCUCCAUUGUUCGGCACUCAAUUAAGAAUCCUUGUCAGAAUCCUUCCAUGACUUAAUCAUAUUCUUGAGGCCAACCAUGGCUUUGGUUAAGCUGGGGUCUCUUUUGAUUUUCACUUUCUUCCGUUGUGUAGAAAAGUCAUGGUCAAGUUUUUCCAAUCCACUUCCGUCACGCACAGCAAUGAAUACAACCACUGCAUUCCUAGUACUCCAUCUACUCCUCCAACUCAAGUGGUAAGAAGUUCGCUUCCACUUUCCAUCCCUCCAGUUCUAGCUCGAUGCCUUCACAAAUUCCUUUCCCCUUCACCGCUGCACCCGAGCCCAAAAUCACUCCAUAGUGUGAGGUAGUCUUCGUCGGUAAACUCAGUUCCUGCACCACCUUGUCCGAGAUGAAGUUAUGGGUUGCUCCACAAUCUAUUAGGAUAAUUACUUCUCUAUCCUUAAUCUUUCCUCUCACCUUCAUCGUUCCGGGAUUCGUCAGCCCCACCACUGAAUUUAUGGAAAGUUCAACGAUAGCCUGAUCUUCUGGAUUUAUCUCGACACAGUUCAAUUCUGUCUCAUCCCAUUCCGCUUCCUCCACAAUUUCAUAUUCCUCAUCCUCCUUUACCACAUACAUUCUUAGUUCCCUUUGCUCCCUUCCUCUACAUCGAUGUCCAUGAAAAUACUUUUCAUUACAGCGAAAGCAAAGUCCCUUCUCUUUUCGGGCUUGAAAUUCUGCAUCCGGUAGUCUCUUCGUCGGGCCUUCUUUCUUAAAUUCACCAGCCGUUGUUCUUAAUGUCACCGUCCUCAUUGGAAAUAUGGUAUUUCCCUGGUUCUCACUGUUAUUCAUCGCUGCACUACUCUUGAUGAUUGAAGAGUUUGGAGGGGGGUAUUUACCCGUGGCAUAACCGUUUAGGUUCGCCUCCUUGCGAAGGAUCUCCCGGUUCUCCACGAGUUGAGCUGCGUGCAUCAUCUCGGCCAAACCAACCGAUUUACAAAAAACUACCUCAGCUUUGAUCCACGGAAACAGUCCAUUCAUAAACGUCUCCUCUACCACACGAUCUUGCAAGUCAGCGAGUGGUGCCAUCAACCUAUCGAACUCAUUGCGAUAUUCUUCCACUGUGGUCUGCUGUUUAAUCCUUAAGAAUUGCCCACAGAUGGAUCCUUCUCUCGACGAUCGAAACCGCACCAGAAAUCUCUCCUUAAGAUUGUGCCAUCCUGUAAACUUAUCGCGUUCUUCUGUGCUCGUACCAGUUAACGCUGGCCUUCAAAACUGAUGGUCGCCACCAAAACUUCUCUGCAUCACUCAGUUUGUGAAUUUGGAAGUACCGGUCGGCGCGGAACAACCACGAAUCCGGAUCCUCGCGCAUUGAAUACUGGCAUUUCGACCUUCUUAAAUUUGUCUCUCUCAUUCGCACCCUCUUCGUCCUCAGUCCUCCUCUCCUUUGUUUCAUUCUCACCUCUCCUACUUGUCGAACUUUCUCCUUCAUUCUUUUUCUGCAUCCAGUUUCUUGUGCGCUGUAGUCUGCCAACUUCUCACUGGUUGUCGUCCGUUCUUUCGCAAUGGAAUCCAUGAGUAUCAUCAGCAUUUGAUGCGUCUUUUCAGUUUGAUGACUGAUCGUUGUUAAGCUUUCUUCGAUCGCUGGAAUUUACUCACUUCUUUCUUCAUCAGCAACAUUUCCUGUUCGUAAGCUUCCAUUCUCUCUUCCGAUCGCGUGUUAACCAUGGUUUUCUCCUUGCCCAGUUCGACAGGCUCUGAUACCAAUUUGAUAGAACACUGAUAUAGUGUUUCUAUUUAUUGAUAUUUGCAACGGAAUUACAAUCUCAAAGCAGUAAAAGAAAAUAUAAAGAACCUAACCCCUUGCCCUUCCUCUCUUUCAAGGAAUAUUGCAGCCUUAAUUCUUCACCCUUCUCCUUCCCAACAGACUCCUAUUUAUAUUCCAUACCCAACUCCUAUUUAUACUCUAACUAACUUUCUCUCUCCAUAACAACUCCUACUUACUCUAUUAUUUUAUUAUGGAGCAUCUACUAACAAUAUUAAAAUUAAGGCUAUUCUCCUAGCACGUGCGGUUAACCUUCUUCUUUUUCCUUCUACUGUAUUGGUGUAUAAUUGGGGGUCUAUCAAAAUGUUACAAGCUGGGGUGAUUCGUCCAAGCCGCAACCCAUAUUCGAGCCCAGUCCUCUUAGUGAAGAAAAAGAUGAGGGUGGAGAUUUUGUGUAGAUUACAGGAAACUCAAUCAAGUAACGGUGGCUGAUAAAUUUCCAAUUCCCGUGAUCGAAGAACUCUUAGAUGAACUUCAUGGUGCGACAGUUUCUCAAAGUUAGACCUAAAUCUGGAUACCACCAGAUUAGGAUGAGGGAGGAAGAUGUGGAGAAAACAGCUUUCGCGCACGCAUGAAGGACAUUAUGAGUUCUUGGUGAUGCCUUUCGGCCUUACGAAUGCUCCUGCCACCUUCCAAUCUCUCAUGAACGAGUGUUCAAACCAUUCCUUCGAAGGUGUGUCCUGGUUUUUUUUAUGACAUUCUAGUUUAUAGUGUGGACAUAGAUGAGCACAUGAAACAUUUAGGAAUGGUUUUUGCUAUCUUGAGGGACCAUGAAUUGUUUGCAAAUAGGUCUAAAUGUGUCAUUGCUCAUUCCCAAGUUCAAUAUUUGGGUCAUCUGAUUUCCAGCAGAGGAGUGGAGGCUGAUGAGGACAAGAUUCGCAGUAUGGUAAAUUGGCCACGGCCGAAAGAUAUAACUGGGCUGAGGGGAUUCCGUGGACUGACUGGGUAUUAUAGAAGAUUUGUGAAAAGCUAUGGAGAAAUAGCUGCAGCCCUUAACCAA
rnacentral:lncRNA from 1 species